rnacentral:lncRNA from 1 species
AGGAUUGUCUUGAUGGUGCGUGUCUUGGUUAGCUUAGCAAUAGCAGCCUCUCCAGAUCUGAACUUCACCUUCUCUGGCUUCCGAUCCACUAAUCUAAACCUUGACGGCAUAGCUGAGUUAACCUCCAAUGGCCUUUUGAGGCUAACCAAUGAAACCUACAACCGAAUGGGUCACGCCUUCUAUCCAAACCCAGUAACCUUCAAGAACUCUAUAAAUAGCACUGUUUUCACCUUCUCCACUACCUUUGUUUUCGCUAUCAUACCUGAAUAUGCAACUUUUGGUGGCCAUGGUAUUGCCUUUGUCAUUUCACCCACAAGAGGUCUCCCAGGAGCUCUUCCAAACCAGAACCUUGGUCUAUUUAAUAACACCAACAAUGGGGAAAAGACCAACCAUGUUGUUGCUGUGGAGCUUGACACGAUAUACAGCACCGGGCUAAAUGAUAUCAAUGAUAACCAUGUUGGGAUUGAUAUUAAUGGUUUAGAGUCUGAACGAUCUGCUUCAGCUGGAUAUUAUUCUCAACUUAAUGGUAAGCUCACAAACUUGACACUAAUUAGUGGCCAUCCAAUGCAAGUUUGGAUGGAAUAUGAUGGCAUGGAGAAGCAAAUGAAUGUCACUAUAGCUCCGAUUGAUGUUGAUAAACCCAUGAGACCACUUUUGACUCUGUCUCGUGAUUUGUCGCCAAUCUUAAACAGUAGUAUGUAUAUCGGAUUCUCAUCAUCCACCGGUUCUGUUUUCUCGUCCCAGUAUGUGUUGGGUUGGAGCUUCAAGAUGAAUGGCCUAGCUGAAGCACUAGAUAUCUCUCGCCUUCCUAAGCUUCCUCGCUUAGGACCAAAGAAGACAUCCAAAUUCUUAACCAUUGGACUGCCUGUGCUUUGUUUAAGUCUGGUUUUAGUAGCAGUCUCGAGUAUAUCUUAUGCCAUCCGAAGGACAAUGAAGUUUGCAGAAGUGCUAGAAGAUUGGGAGCUUGACUAUGGGCCUCACCGAUUUAAAUUCAAAGAUCUUUAUACUGCCACCAAAGGAUUUAGAGACGAGGAGCUGUUGGGUAGUGGUGGAUUUGGUAGAGUCUACAAAGGUGUCUUGCCAACCUCUAAGAUUCAGAUUGCAGUGAAAAGGGUGUCUCAUGAAUCAAGACAGGGGAUGAGGGAAUUUGUGGCGGAAAUUGUCAGCAUUGGUCGCCUUCGUCACCGGAAUUUAGUCCCUCUCUUGGGGUACUGCCGGCGUAAAGGAGAGCUACUUUUGGUAUAUGACUACAUGCCUAAUGGAAGUCUAGACAAAUACCUCUAUGACCAACCAGCAGUCGCCCUCAAUUGGAGCCAAAGAUUUAGAGUCAUCAAAGGCGUAGCUUCAGGGCUAUUAUAUCUACAUGAAGAAUGGGAGCAAGUUGUGAUUCAUAGAGAUGUCAAGGCUAGUAAUGUCUUGCUAGAUGGUGAAUUGAAUGGAAGAUUAGGGGAUUUUGGCCUUGCAAGAUUGUAUGACCAUGGAACAGAUCCUCAAACGACCCACGUUGUCGGAACUCUUGGGUAUCUCGCACCUGAGCAUGCACGAACUGGGAAGGCCACGACAAGCACUGAUGUGUUCGCUUUUGGGGCCUUCCUGCUUGAGGUUGCUUCUGGUAGAAGGCCAAUACAGCCAACUGAGGAUAUAAUCUUGGUUGAUUGGGUGUUUGGUCGAUGGCUUGGAGGUGAAAUUCUGGAGGCAAGGGAUCCCAAUUUGGGUACAGAAUAUAUUGCAGAGGAAAUGGAAUUGGUAUUGAAACUUGGUUUGAUGUGCUCUCAUUCUGAGCCUGCAGCAAGGCCAAGCAUGCGCCAAGUAGUGCAGUUCUUAGAGGGGAAUGUUCCUCUGCCUGACAUUUCACUACUUCGUCUUUCUUCAAGUGGCCUAACAUUUUCACAUCGUGAAGGUUUUGAUGACUUUGCCAAUUCUUAUCCUUGUUUUAUGGACAAGGCAUGUGCACAUUUGUCCUCGGUUACAGAGUCCCUCCUUUCAGGUGGCCGUUAAUUCUUGCGUUUCUUCAAGGAACUUAUCAAGAACUCAUGUAAGAUUUAUUUGGUGAAUCAGAGGAGAACAUAUACAUUACCUUAUGCAAUAUAUACAUAACCUUAUGAGUGUGUUUUUUCUAUAUAAAAAAACAAUAUGUAGUAAACUGCCUUUAGGAGAUGUACAUGAAAGAUCACCUGCAAAACAAUGAUGCAAAUUAAAUAAAAUGCAUAACACGAUGUCUCUCCCUUUUGUUUAUGUUGAUGUAUCACAUAAGAAAGCAAACAUGGUAACAAAGCAUGAAGCAGGAGGUAAUGUUUAAAAGACAUGCAUAGUUAUAGUUGGAAGUAGUACAGCAAGUUAUCUGAAUUAAUCUGCCAACUAUCAAGACUCUGUCUGUUAAAGAACCGAUUCAAGUUGGUUCUUGGCCAUUGGCGACUAGUAUUUUAUUAUAUAAGCAACUUAAAAGAGCUAUAAUAGAGAGUUUUGAUCAAAGUAUUUAUAUGAUGAAAUAUUUAGUAAUAAAAUUUCAAAUCAAAGUCUGUGGUGUGACCAAUUGGACAUAAUUUUAGGUUGCUUGUUCUUCUAUCUUUCUUGAUCUUGUGUUGCUUCCAUUUGCUCUUAAUGUGAAACUGGGCUUGGUGCCAUUCAAUUGAAUUUCAGGUUCUCUUGAAAUUCCUACUUGGAAGUGGGAAUGCAUUGUAUACAUACAGAAACUUCAGAGAUGAAAAAUCUUAGGUAAAUUGACCAAUCAGACAACCUAUAGUGAAUACAUUGUAUCAUUUUCUUUCCGUUGAUCCAAGCAAGUUCAGUUCAAGAGACCCUUAGAUUUAAGAAACAAGACUUCCUUCUUAUAAUCAUUGAACAAUUAUGCCGACAUUUUUGGACCCCAUAAAUUUUAUGACUUGUGUGCUUUGCCCUAUUCAAGACAACCUAUAGUGAAUGAUAUGAAAAGAGAAGAAAAUGAUAUCACACGACAUUCACAGGGAAAUUCACGUACUUACUACAAACACAUGGUAAACCACAUAGCCAAUCCAAGAUAGACUUGUAGACUCGAUACAUUCUUAACUAACACAAAAGCAAGAUUAACCAAUUCUAGGAGCUCUCUCGAUUUUUCCGAAUGAGUCAACGUGUAAUCGUACUCUAUUCUGUCGAAAAUCCAUGGUCACAAAGCAAUCAGGUUGAACGACUUGAAUUUGAGCGCCUGGCUUCUCCUCCUUUAUCUUCCUUUCAGCUUCUUCCGCUGUUAAGCCAACUAGCUCAGGCCAUGUUGUUUUUGCAGCAGGAUUUGACCCCAGCCCGUACAUUCCUAAAACUUGUCAAAACCAAAGCAUUCAUAAAUGGAAAACUUAGAUGUCAUAAUCGUGAGCAAGGAAAAAAAAAAAAAAGUUAAAACAUGCCAUAGUUGUUAGCAAACUAAAAAUAUCACUGCUAGGAAACUAAUGUUUGAGAUUAUCCGAAUAUAAUGGUUUUGAAUUACUGAUAGAAUCUUAGGUAUAUCAUCCUUUCCCCUUGUUUUUCGAGAGAAACUAUAAUUGUCAAAAUCAGGACCCGAAUGGUCGGAUCAUAUAAAAUUAAGAACCUCCAAGUCCUCGAUGGUAUAAUAUUUUUGAAUCUCUGCCUUCGAUCGUGAUCGCCAGAAUCACGUGAUGGCACUUCUUACAAACAACAAAACAUCAAAAAAUGAUUUUUCUUUAUACUUACUUGGCAAGGGUGGUACUGCUUGAUCAGCAGGUGGUUCUUGAGGGGACUUGAUCUGUUGAUUUUCUUCGGUCAUAGCAAAGCUCUGAACAGGAGGGGACAGCUGAUUUCCUUGUAUUUGAGAUUUUACACUUUGUUUGUUAGGAGGGUUGAAGGAUGGAUCAGAGGGGAGGGACUAGUGCGGAAGCAUUUAGCAUCAUUUUAAUCCUUCCUCACUUAUAAUUUUCAAUCCUUUUAAUUUGGGUUGAUUGACUCUUAUCCUUUCAUUCAUUUAGAAUUUAUGUGCUUGAUAUUAGCCUUUUACAGCACUUUAUUUUAGCCAUUUUAGUUCUAAGAGGCUAAUUUAAGAUAAAAUAAAGAAUUAAGCCUUUUGUUUUAUUUUUUCAACUUUUGAAAACAAAAUGUAAAAACCUAUUCGUUUUUGUUUAUACAAAAAAAACAAAAAAAAAAAAAAACAAUACAUUUUGAUUUGGUUUUAAAAGUUUUCAUAGUUGGAUUUAGUACCAUCAACUUAUGAUUUGGUAGCUAGAUUGGAUUCGAUACUUUCGUCAAUAUUUUAUAGAGAGCUAUGAAAUUAUUCACUUUCCAAUUGCAUUGUUAAUUCAUAUUCUUUACAGACAAAAUCAUUCACGGAUUGAAAAGUCAUCUGUAAUUUCGUUGGUAAAUUAAUUACCAACGGAAUGGUAGUGCAAAGACAAAUAAAAAAUUUCGUUGAUAAAUCUAAAAAUUAUGGUAGUAAUUUCAUGAAUAUAGACCAAAAUUUCUAGAAAAUGAACAAGGAGGUGUUCCACUGACGCUUCAUAUCAAAGCUCAAUAGUGCUAAAUUUGAAAAAUUGGAACAACUUUUUGAAAAGGUUUUGUGAGACUCGGACAAAAAAAUAUAGAAGUCCAGGCUUCUGUUAGGUAAAAACUCGUAGACCAAUAUCGUUUCAUCUCUCUUUAAAUGCAGCAUCCAAGAAGCCUCAGUAGAUUCUAGUGUUGAAGUUUCAAAACAUCUUUUACUUAAUUUUUUAACUCAUCAAGUCCUUGUCUUGAACUCAGAGAGCCUUUUGACAGCUAUUUCUUAUCCAUGAAUGUUACACUCAAAUAAUGACUCAGCAUCCUAAGAAAAUCCUGUGUUGUAUUUCUUGAAGAACUUUUUCUUAUCACUUAAUUUUUUUUUAAGAAAAAAGCAUGGCUUUUUUUAUAAUUUUUUUUUAUAAAGUUAUUCCAGUAUUAUAACCAAUGUUGUGAAUUUUACACUCGAAUUGACUUAAGUUAUUUUUCAUUGUUUUUUUUUUAUCUAUAUUUAUUUCAAUUUUAUAGUUCGGCAAUAAGUUGGUUAAGAACCAGUCUUUAAGUUUUUUUAUUUGUUUUCUAUGUGGUAAUCUUAAUUUCAUGACUUUAAUCACAGGCAUAUUUAUCUAGGUUUACAUGGAUUUUUUUUAUUAUAUUUUUAAAUUUAUUUUUUCUAGGGUUUAGGAGCUUUUUAGUUUUUUUAAUUUUUUAUUACAUUAGAAAUUAAAUAAAUACAUCUUUUUUAAAAAGAAAAAAAUUGAGUACAUGUUACUUAGCAUGUGUGAGCUAGAUGUUGAUAGCGCAGUAAUAUGUAUGAAUAUGUGAAUUCUCAUAUUUUAAAGUAAUUUUUUAUUUUUAUUAAUAUAAAUAUUUAAAUGAUUAUCUUGAUUAAUUUUAUAAAAUUUAAAAUUAAUAAUUAUAUAAAACUACAAUAAUCCUGAAAGAUUCACUCUUUAGAGCAACCUUAUAAGUGUUUGGAAGGGCAGUGAAGAAGCCGCGAAAUUUCGCGGAAGAGUUGCUGAGAUUGACUAGUUCUUCAUGUUGCCUUGAAAUUAAAUUAGGGAAUUGUGUUUACACAUCAACCUGAAAGUUUGACAAGUUAGAUUAUCUCAACCACUGAAUGCAAAGAUUAUCCUCCUGGUUUGACUAAUUGGCUCUAUCAUUAAGGCACAUUUAUUUUACGGAAAGUGAUUUGUUAAAAUCAUUUUAAAUUUUUUCUAUAUUUAUUUGUUAUUAAAAAAAUAUUAAUCAACGAAAACUAUUUUUUAAUAAAAAAAAUUAGCUUGAUUUACAUGAAAAUAUCUUUUUAUUUUGAGAAAAAAUCAUUUUCAGAAGUUAUAAAAAAUUUAAAAAUAUCAUGUUAUUUACUGAUUUUAUCAAAUUUGAUCCUUAAAUUUUUGAUUCUAUAUAUUUUGUUUUGAAUAUUUUUUUUAAUUUCAUCUAUUCAAAUUUAAUUUGAUUUGAUUUUUAUAUUUGUUUCUUAUUUUUAAUAUUGUUAUUUUCUUUUCUCUUAUCAUUUUUUUAAUUAAAAUUAUUUAUUUAUUAGAUUUGGUCUUUAUUUUUUAAUUGUUAUUUAAUUUAUUUGAAAUAAUUUAUGAAAUUAUAUAUAUUUUUUUAAUUUUAUCAUUUUUCAACUUUUUUUAUCUAUUAGAUCUCUAUUAUUUUAUUUACUAUUUAUUUUAUUUGAGAUAAGUUAUGAAAUUAGAUUUGUUUUUAAUUUAACUUUCGUUUAAUUUUUUCAUUUAUAAGAUUUGUCUUUAUUAUUUUAAUAAACUUGAAAAAAUAGUAAUAAUUUAUUUUUUAACUUAUUUUCCAUAAUAUGCCAAAUACUAGAAAAUAUUUUAUAAUUUAUUUUUCAUAAUACAAUUAAAUAUUAAAAAACAAUUUACUUUUCAAGAAUUUAUUUUUUAAAUAACUAUUUAAAAAAAUAUAUUUUUCAGCUACCAAACUGCCGACUCCUGAAUUACAUGGAUACUCCAAUAUAACUGACAAACAUGAACAAGAAACUGGUGGGUGGAGACAAACACAGUUGCAAUGUUAUUCAGGAACGUCUUGUUGGUGCGUGUCUUAGUUAGCUUAGCAAUAGCAGCCUCUCAAGAUCUCAACUUCACCUUCUCUGGCUUCCGAUCCACUAAUCUAAGCCUUGACGGCUUAGCUGAGUUAACCUCCAAUGGCCUUUUGAGGCUAACCAAUGAAACCUACAACCGAAUGGGUCACGCCUUCUAUCCAAACCCAGUAACCUUCAAGAACUCUAUAAAUAGCACUGCUUUCAACUUCUCCACUACCUUUGUUUUCGCUAUCGUACCGCAAUAUCCAACUCUUGGUGGCCAUGGUAUUGCCUUUGUCAUUGCACCCACAAGAGGUCUCCCAGGAGCCCUUCCAAACAAUUACCUUGGUCUAUUUAAUACGACCAACAAUGGGAAUCAGACCAACCAUGUUGUUGCUGUGGAGCUUGACACGAUAAACACCACCGAGUUCAAUGAUAUCAAUGAUAACCAUGUUGGGAUUGAUAUUAAUGGUUUAGAGUCUGAACGAUCUGCUUCAGCUGGAUAUUAUUCCAAACUUAAUGGUAAGCUCACAAACUUGACACUAAUUAGUGGCCAUCCAAUGCAAGUUUGGAUAGAAUAUGAUGGCAUGGAGAAGCAAAUGAAUGUCACUAUAGCUCCGAUUGAUGUUGAUAAACCCAGUAGACCACUUUUGACUCUGUCUCGUGAUUUGUCGCCAAUCUUAAACAGUAGUAUGUAUAUUGGAUUCUCAUCAUCCACCAGUGUUUCAUAUUUCGCGUACCAGUACGUGUUGGGUUGGAGCUUCAAGAUGAAUGGCCUAGCUGAAGCACUACAUAUCUCUCGCCUUCCUAAGCUUCCUCGAGUAGGACCAAAGAAGACAUCCAAAUUCUUAACCAUUGGACUGCCUGUGCUCUGUUUAAGUCUGGUUUUAGUAGCAGUCUCGGGUAUAUCUUAUGCCGUACGAAGGACAAGGAAGUUUGCAGAAGUGCUAGAAGAUUGGGAGCUCGACUAUGGGCCUCACCGAUUUAAAUUCAAAGAUCUUUAUACUGCCACCAAAGGAUUUAGAGACGAGGAGCUGUUGGGUAGUGGUGGAUUUGGUAGAGUCUACAAAGGUGUCUUGCCAACCUCUAAGAUUCAGAUUGCAGUGAAAAGGGUGUCUCAUGAAUCAAGGCAGGGGAUGAGGGAAUUUGUGGCGGAAAUUGUCAGCAUUGGUCGCCUUCGUCACCGGAAUUUAGUCUCUCUCUUGGGGUACUGCCGGCGUAAAGGAGAGCUACUUUUGGUAUAUGACUACAUGCCUAAUGGAAGUCUAGACAAAUACCUCUAUGACCAACCAGCAGUCGCCCUCAAUUGGAGCCAAAGAUUUAGAGUCAUCAAAGGCGUAGCUUCAGGGCUAUUAUAUCUACAUGAAGAAUGGGAGCAAGUUGUGAUUCAUAGAGAUGUCAAGGCUAGUAAUGUCUUGCUAGAUGGUGAAUUGAAUGGAAGAUUAGGGGAUUUUGGCCUUGCAAGAUUGUAUGACCAUGGAACAGAUCCUCAAACGACCCACGUUGUCGGAACUCUUGGGUAUCUCGCACCUGAGCAUGCACGAACUGGGAAGGCCACGACAAGCACUGAUGUGUUCGCUUUUGGGGCCUUCCUGCUUGAGGUUGCUUCUGGUAGAAGGCCAAUACAGCCAACUGAGGAUAUAAUCUUGGUUGAUUGGGUGUUUGGUCGAUGGCUUGGAGGUGAAAUUCUGGAGGCAAGGGAUCCCAAUUUGGGAACAGAAUAUGUUGCAGAGGAAAUGGAAUUGGUAUUGAAACUUGGUUUGAUGUGCUCUCAUUCUGAGCCUGCAGCAAGGCCAAGCAUGCGCCAAGUAGUGCAGUUCUUAGAGGGGAAUGUUCCUCUGCCUGACAUUUCACCACUUCGUCUUUCUGCAAGCGGCCAAAAAUUUUCAAAUCGUGAAGGUUUUGAUGAGUUUGCCAAUACUUAUCCUUCUUCUAUGGACAAUGCAUUUGCACAUUCGUCCUCGGUUGCAGAGUCCCUCCUUUCAGGUGGCCGUUAAUUCUUGCUUUUCUUCAAGGACCUUGUUGAAUUAAUGUCUCAGAAGCUGCUGAUGUGGAAGAUGGAAGUGUUUACAGUCAAAUAAAACUCAUGCUAGUUUGAAGUUUUAAAAGUUUGUACGGAUUUGCAAAUCUUCUUUUCUGUUAUGUAAUAAACAGCAGCAGAUAUUGCUGCUGUUUAUUUGCUUUUACUGUUUUAUGAAGUGUUUAAAUAAGACUUCUGAUAAUCAAUAUUCAGAAUAGCUUUGUUAUUUGUUAACGUUUACAAUUUAUUCUGUCAAAAACUAUCAGACGUUAUCAAGAACUCAUGUAAGAUCUAUUUGGUGAAUCAGAGGAGUUCCUGUAUGCAACACAUUACCUUAUGAGUGGGUUUUUUUUUUAAAAAAAAAAUAUUAUGUAGUAAACUGCCUUUAGGAGAUGUACAUGAAAGAUCACCUGCAAAACAAUGAUGCAAAUUAGAUAAAAUGCAUAACACGGCGUCUCUCCCUUUUGUUUAUGUUGAUGUAUCACAUAAGAAAGCAAACAUGGUAACAAAUCAUGAAGCUCGAGGUAAUGUUUAAAUGACAUGCAUAGUUAUAGUUGGAAGUAGUACAAGAAUUAAUCUGUUAAAUUUUUAAAAUAUAAUUUAUAUUAUUAUUUAAUAUACUUUUCUAAGUAAAAAAGUUUUGAACUUGAAAUUUACAUCAAAUCACUUUAUUUUAUAUUUAAUUUUAUCAUAUAAAUAAGAAUAGUAAGGUUUAAACUCAAAACUGUUAAGUUAUCAAAAUUCUGAAAACAUAUUAAAAAAUUAUUAAUUUGUCCUUAGAAGCAUGAGUCCAACUGCAAGCAAAGAAAAGAUGCUAGUGAGAUUCCUCAGCUUGCCUAUAAAACACGCAGGAGGUGUCCAAUAGGAUGAAACAUAAUUUGUCCUUUAUUUUAAGUUUUUCUACAACUGCAAGCCAUAUAAGGAAAUUGUAUUGUAGUAGAGACCAGGUUUCCCAUACUACACGAUCCCAGUUCACCUGAGUAGAAGGACUCCGGAGAUAUUCAUAAGCUUUAGCUGAGAAGCGAUGAACACCACUAGACCAACUUUUGAGUGGAGUUAUAGUUUCAUCUAUACUCCCACAACUCUCUACUAGUUGAUCUCUAUGACAGAUAAUGAAUUUUCAUAGUGGGGAGAAGGAUGUAUGGGCACACACGAUCCAUAUAGAGUAGGUAUGUAAAUAGUAGUGGUGAACUCAUUAAAUCCAAAUGAAAUCUGUCUUCAGAUGAAUAUUUUAGAGAUGCCUAGCAAGGAAGCUCUUGUUUCUAGCCUUUACAUCAAAUAAGCAAAGGCCCCCUUCUUUCUUUAAGAGGCAAACGUUGUUCCAAGCAACCAAAGUAGAUAUGCUUUUAGUAGUGUUACAUGUCCAUAAGAAAUUCCUACAGGUACAGAUGAUUUGGUUGAUGACAAUAACUAGAAGAGGGAAGACAUUUAUCCAUAAUUGAACCAUACCAAAUAGAAGAGACUUUAAAAGCUCCAAUCGACCAACAUAUGAGAGAUUUUUACCUAUCGAGUUCUAAACUGCCGACUCUAAUUUGAAUAAAAAAGGAGAAAACUGAAUUGUUAAUAGCCGUGAGGGCUAAGAGGAACACCCAGAUAUGUGAUGGGGAAGGAUCCUUCUUUAAAUCCAGAAUCAUGAAGAAGAGUCAACUUCAAGUCAAUUUUCUCCUCUUUGAUCCUUCUUUAGAACAACCUUAUUGCGUGGAAGGGUAGUGGAGAAUAUUUUUUAAAUUGUUUUUUAUUUAUAAAUAUAUUAAAAUAUUUUAAAAUUUUAUUUCUUACAUGAAUAUAUCAAAAAUAAUAUAAAAACAUUAAAAAAAAUAAUUUAAAUUUAAUUUAAAAAAUUUGUUUAACUGCAACUCAAACAAUGCCUAACCGUGAAAUUUCAUGAAAGAGUUGCUAAAUUGACUAGUUUUCAAUGUCGCCUUAAAAUUAUGGGUAUUGUGCUGUCACAUCAACCUAAAAGUUUGACGAGUUAGAUUAUCUCAACCAUGCAAAGAUUCUCCCCAUUGUUUGACUAAUUGGCUCUCUCAUUAAGAUACAUUUAUUUCAUAGAAAAUGAUUUUUUUAUUUUUUAAAAAAAUAUAUAAAGAAAUUAGAAAUAUUAAAUUAUUUACUGAUUUUAUUAAACAUGAGUUUUAAAUUUUUUAUUGUUAUAUAUUUUACUUAUAUUUUUUUUAAUUUCAUCAUUUAGAAUUUAACUUAAUUUGAUUUUUAUAUGAACUUUGUUUCUUAUUUUUAUAAUUGUUAUUUGUUUUCUCCUAUUAUUUUCUUAAUUAAAUUUUUUUAUUUAUCAAAUUUGAUCCUUAUUAUUUUGAUUGUUAUUUAUUUUAUUAAAAUCAUCUAUAAAAUUAUAAUUUUUUAAAAAACUUCAUCAUCUUUUAAGUUUUUGAUAUGUUAGAUUUGAUCCUUAUUAUUUUGAUUGUUAUUUAUUUUAUUUGAGAUAAUUUAUGCAGAUGAUCUAGUUGAUGACAAUAACUGGAAGAGGGAAGACAUUUAUCCAAAAUUGAACCAUACCAAAUAUAACCGACUUCAAAAGCUCCAAUCGACUAGCAUAUGAGAGAUAUUUACCUAUCGAGUUCUAAACUGCCGACUCUAAUUUGAAUAAAAAAGGAGAAAACUGACUUGUUAAUAGCCGUGAAGGCUAAGAGGAACACCCAGAUAUGUGAUGCGGAAGGAUCCUUCUUUAAAUCCAGAAUCAUGAAGAAGAGUCAGCUUCAAGUCAGUUUUUUCCUCUUUGAUUCUUCUUUAGAGCAGCCUUAUUGCGUGGAAGGGUAGUGGAGAAUAUUUUUUAAAUUAUUUUUUAUUUAUAAAUAUAUUAAAAUAUUUUUAAAAUUUUAUUUGUUAAAUGAAUAUAUCAAAAAUAAUAUAAAAACACUAAAAAAUAAUUUAAAUUUAAUUUAAAAAAUUUGUUUAACUGCAACUCAAACAAUGCCUAACAAUGAAAUUUCAUGAAAGAGUUGCUAAAUUGACUAGUUUUUCAUGUUGUCUUAAAAUUAUGGGUAUUAUGCUUUCACAUUAACUUGAAAGUUUGACGAGUUAGAUUAUCUCAACCAUGCAAAGAUUCUCCACAUUGUGUGACUAAUUGGCUCUCUCAUUAAGAUACAUUUAUUUUAUAGUAAUUGAUUUUUUAUUUUUUAAAAAAAUAUAUAAAAAAAUUAGAAAUGUUAAAUUAUUUACUGAUUUUAUUAAAUAUGAUUUUUAAAUUUUUGAUUGUUAUAUAUUUUAUUUUAUAGUAAUUGAUUUUUUAUUUUUUAAAAAAAUAUAUAAAAAAAUUAGAAAUGUUAAAUUAUUUACUGAUUUUAUUAAAUAUGAUUUUUAAAUUUUUGAUUGUUAUAUAUUUUAUUUUUAUUUUUUAAAUUCAUCAUUUAAAAUUUAACUUAAUUUAUUUUUAAAAAAUAUAUAUUUUUCAACAAACAAACAAAACAGUUAUCUCCAAAAUUACGUCGAUAAUCCAUUAUAACUGACAAACAUGAACAAGAAACUGGUGGGUGGAGACAAAUACAGUUGCAAUGUUAUUCAGGAUCGUCUUCUUGGUGCGUGUCUUCGUUAGCUUAGCAAUAGCAGCCUCUCAAGAUCUCAACUUCACCUUCUCUGGCUUCCGAUCCACUAAUCUAAGCCUUGACGGCUUAGCUGAGUUAACCUCCGAUGGCCUUUUGGGGCUAACCAAUGAAACCUACAACCGAAUGGGUCACGCCUUCUAUGCAAACCCAGUAACCUUCAAGAACUCUAUAAAUAGCACUGCUUUCACCUUCUCCACUACCUUUGUUUUCGCUAUCAUACCGCAAUAUCCAAAUAGUAUUGCCUUUGUCAUUGCACCCACAAGAGGUCUCCCAGGAGCCCUUCCAAACUAUUACCUUGGUCUAUUUAAUAAGACCAGCAAUGGGAAUCAGACCAACCAUGUUGUUGCUGUGGAGCUUGACACGAUAAACACCAGCGAGUUCAAUGAUAUCAUUGAUAACCAUGUUGGGAUUGAUAUUAAUGGUUUAGAGUCUGAACGAUCUGCUUCAGCUGGAUAUUAUUCCAAACUUAAUGGUAAGCUCACAAACUUGAAACUAAUUAGUGGCCAUCCAAUGCAAGUUUGGAUAGAAUAUGAUGGCAUGGAGAAGCAAAUGAAUGUCACUAUAGCUCCGAUUGAUGUUGAUAAACCCAGUAGACCACUUUUGACUCUGUCUCGUGAUUUUUCGCCAAUCUUAAACAGUAGUAUGUAUAUUGGAUUCUCGUCAUCCACCAGUGUUUCAUAUUUCGCUACCAGUACGUGUUGGGUUGGAGCUUCAAGAUGAAUGGCCUAGCUGAAGCGCUAAAUAUCUCUCGCCUUCCUAAGCUUCCUCGAGUAGGACCAAAGAAGACAUCCAAAUUCUUAACCAUUGGAUUGCCUGUGCUUUGUUUAAGUCUGGUUUUAGUAGCAGUCUCGAGUAUAUCUUAUGGCAUCCGUGAUGGACUGUUAAAGGAAUUAACAGCAGAGUCUGCUCCUUCUCUUCUUUGCUGUUCCCGCCCUUUUCUGUUAAUUCUGUUAUUCUGUUAGAAGUCAGUUACAGUUAGUUAAUAGUCGGUUAUUCCUUAAUUGUCAACAUGCACAACGCAUGCUUAGUAUAAGCCUUCGGUCAGUGGCUAUAUAAGCCAGAUGUGAAUAAUGAAUAAAGCUCGAAUGAGUGGAAUACAAUUCUGUCAAUUGAAGAACAAAUUGUUAAUUCAAGAACAGUGAGUGUUGCAACAAUUGGUAUCAGAGCUGCAUCAUAGGUGACCUGAGUGUGAGUGUGAGUGUGAAGAAUUAACAAAAGAAAUAAAUCCUACUUCUCCUCGUAGUCUAAAGAGAGUUAACAAAUCAUGGAGAACAGUAAUAGCAGCUUUGUGCAGGCAGCUAUUCCUAAAUUUGAUGGAUACUUUGACCAUUGGGCGAUGUUGAUGGAGAACUUCCUUCGUUCCAAAGAAUACUGGGAUCUCAUAGAGAAUGGAAUAUCAAUGGAGGUGCCACAGAGAACUGAGCCUGGAUCCACGUCCACAGUGGGAGCAGCAGAAGGACAACACAAACUGAUUGAAGGUCAGAAGCUGAAAGAUUUAAAGGUAAAGAAUUACCUGUUCCAAGCUAUAGAUCGAAAUAUCAUGGAAACCAUUCUAAAUAGAGACACUUCAAAAGGAAUCUGGGACUCCAUGAAACAGAAGUACCAAGGCUCCACCAAGGUGAAAAGAGCUCAGCUACAGGCACUUAGGAAGGAGUUUGAAAUCCUGCACAUGAAGGAGGGAGAAACUGUUAACAGUUUCUUUGGUCGCACACUCACUAUAGCCAAUAAAAUGAAGACUCAUGGUGACACGAUGAGUCAAACCACAAUCAACGAAAAAGUUCUGAGGUCUAUGAUCUCAAAAUUCGAUUAUGUGGUUUGCUCGAUCGAAGAGUCAAAUGAUUUAAAUACUUUGACCAUUGAUGAACUGCAAAGUAGUAUAUUAGUUCAUGAGCAAAGAAUGAAUGGUCAUCGAGGAGAAGAGCAGGCUCUCAAGAUUUCUUAUGAAGAAAAUACUGACAGAGGAAGAGGUAGAGGAGUGUUUAAAGGAAGAGGAAGAGGUAGAGGACGUGGCAGACUACCAUUUAACAAAGCUGCAAUCGAAUGCUUCAAAUGUCACAAAUUAGGACAUUUCCAAUAUGAAUGUCCUACUUGGGAGAAAGAAGUUAAUUAUGCAGAAACAGAUGAAGGAGAAGAAUUGUUAUUGAUGGCGUAUGAGGAGGCUAACCAUAAAGAAAGAAAAGAGAUCUGGUUUCUUGACUCAGGAUGUAGCAAUCACAUGAGUGGAAACAAAGAAUGGUUCUCAGAACUAGAUGAUCAAUUCAGGCACACAGUGAAGCUAGCGACAAUUCAAAGAUGGCAGUUAUGGGGAAGGGAAAUGCAAGAAUGAAAGUAAAUGGAAUCACUCAAGUGAUCUCAAAAGUUUACUACAUUCCUGAGUUGAAAAACAACCUGCUGAGCAUAGGGCAACUACAAAACAGAGGAGUAACCAUUCUGAUUCAGCAUGGGAAGUGUAAAGUUUUUCAUCCUACCAAGGGCUUGAUCAUUCAAUCUGAAAUGAGUACAAACAGGAUGUUUGUUGUACUCGCAACAAUGAUUCCUAACGCUAAUGCUUGUCUACAAGCUGUGAUAGAAGAUCAAAGUCACUUGUGGCAUUGCAGAUUUGGUCAUGUAAGCUUCAAAGGGUUGAGAGCCCUUCAAUCAAAAGGAAUGGUCAAAGGAUUGCCUGCUGGCUUGCCCUCACCAGCAGCCUGUGCACAAGUUUGCACAACUUGUUUAACUGGAAAACAACACAGAGGAUCUAUUCCUAAAAAGAGUCUAUGGAGAGCAUCACAGAAGCUGGAAUUGAUACAUGCAGAUAUAUGUGGCCCCAUCAAUCCAGCAUCAAACAACAACAAGAGGUAUUUUUUUAGCUUUAUAGAUGACUUCAGUCGAAAGAUGUCGAUUUACUUCUUGCACGAAAAAUCAGAAGCCUUCAUCAUGUUCAAAAGAUACAAGAUAUCUGUUGAGAAGGAAACAGGAGCCCACCUCAAAUGUUUAAGAACUGAUAGAGGUGGUGAGUUCAAUUCAACUGAGUUUAAGGAGUUUUGCAAGGAAAAUGGCAUCACUAGACAAUUAACCACGGCCUACACUCCUCAGCAGAAUGGAGUUGCCGAGAGAAAGAACAGAACUGUGAUGAAUCUAGUACGGUGCAUUCUUACAGAUAAACAAGUUCCAAAGGUUUUCUGGCCAGAAGUUGUGAGGUGGUGUGUGCAUGUGCUCAACAGGAGUCCUACUCAAGCCGUCCAACAUUCAACCCCAGAGGAAGCAUGGAGUGGCUUGAAGCCCACUGUAGAGUAUUUCAAGGUAUUUGGGUACUUGGCACACGUGCAUGUACCAGACCAGAAGAGAAUUAAACUGGAUAAUAAAAGCAUACAAUGCGUUUUGCUGGGAGUAAGUGAUGAAUCAAAGGCUUACAGAUUAUUUGACCCAACUUCUAAGAAAAUAAUUGUCAGCAGGGAUGUUAUUUUCGAAGAAAAUAAAGGCUGGAAUUGGAACAUGAGCAGUGAGGAAACAACCUCAGAUGCACUAGAAUGGGGUGAUCCUGAAGAAGAAACUGAUGAAGCUCAGAAUGCACAGAAGUUGACAACAGAGGAGAGUGAGAAUGAAGAAACAAGUUCAAAUGGGGAACUUGGGACAAACAGUAACAAUAAUGAAGAGAUCAACUUCAAGGGCAUGAAUGAGGCAGGUUCUAGUAAUAAUCAUGCACAGUCCAGUAUGCCACAUGAAGUAAACCCUUCUGCAACAGGGAGGUUAAGGCGAAUUCCACCCUGGAUGCAAGACUAUGAAACAGGAGAGAAUCUGUCAGAAGAAGAGGAUUUAAAUGCCAUGGCUAUUCUUACAGAAGAUGAUCCAUCCACAUUUGAGCAAGCCGUGAAAAGCAAGAAAUGGAGAGAUGCAAUGAACUAAGAAAUUGAGGCUAUUGAACGCAAUAACACAUGGACUCUGACUGUCCUACCCGAAGGAGUAAACAACAUUGGGGUUAAAUGGAUAUUCAAAACCAAACUCAAUGAGAGUGGUGAGAUAGAUAAAUGCAAGGCUAGACUUGUGGCAAAAGGAUAUGCACAACAAUAUGGAAUUGACUACACAGAGGUAUAUGCUCCAGUUGCAAGAUUAGAUAUCAUACGUGUGAUACUUGCUCUAGCAGCUCAAGAAGGAUGGAGUGUCUUUCAACUAGAUGUGAAGAGUGCAUUUCUGCAUGGUGAGCUCAGUGAGGAAGUAUUUGUAGAACAGCCCCAAGGAUAUGAGAAAGAGGGUGAGGAACACAAGGUUUAUAAACUCAACAAGGCACUAUAUGGCCUCAAACAAGCUCCACGAGCUUGGUAUAGCAGAAUUGAGGCUUACUUUAUCCAGGAAGGCUUCAAGAAAUGUUACUGUGAACACACCUUGUUCACUAAACUAGAAGGAGGAGGAAAGGUGUUAAUUGUCAGUCUGUAUGUUGACGAUUUAAUCUUCACUGGGAAUGACAGGAACAUGUGUUCAGAAUUCAAGAAGCUCAUGAUGCUGGAGUUUGACAUGUCAGAUUUGGGAAGAAUGAAGUUCUUCUUAAAUUGAUAUACAGAAUCCUGAAGGGAUUUAUAUAUGUCAAAGGAGGUAUGCUCGAGAAAUCCUAAAACGCUUUGGCAUGGAUAAAUGCAACUCAGUGAAGAAUCCUAUAGUCCCAGGCUGCAAACUGUCGAAGGAUGAGGAGGGAACCAAAGUUGAUACAAGCAUGUUCAAGCAGGUGGUUGGCAGCCUCAUGUACUUAACUGCAACCAGACCUGACUUAAUGUAUGGUGUAGGUCUUAUUAGCAGAUUCAUGUCAAGACCAACGGAGCAACACUAGUUAGCAGCAAAAAGACUACUCAGAUAUCUGAUGGGAACAGUGAACCUGGGCAUUUUCUACAGGAAAGGAGGAUGCAAGCAACUUAUAGCCUACUCAGACAGUGACUUUGCUGGAGAUAUUGAUGAUCGCAGGAGUACCACAGGAUGUGUGUUUUUAAUCAGCUCUGGAGCAGUAUCAUGGUUGUCUAAGAAACAGCCUGUUGUUAGUUUAUCAACAACCAAAGCUGAGUACAUUGCUGCUGCAUCAUGUGCAUGUCAGUGUGUCUGGCUGAGAAGAGUUCUGGAGCAGCUUGAAUGUGAACAAAAGGAAUACACUACAAUUCUGUGCGAUAACAGUUCCAGCAUAAAACUGUCCAAGAAUCCUGUUCUCCAUGGCAGAAACAAGCACAUUGAUAUAAGGUUUCAUUUCCUCCGUGAAAUGGUGAAACAGAAUGUGGUUAACUUGAGUUACUGCAAAACUCAAGAUCAGAUAGCUGACAUUAUGACAAAACCUCUCGGAUUAGAGGUGUUCCUAAAGCUUCGAAGAUUGCUGUGAUUGUGUGAGAUUCCACACAUAAACUGAAUAACAGUUUAAGGGAGGGAUUGAUGGACUGUUAAAGGAAUUAACAGCAGAGUCUGCUCCUUCUCUUCUUUGCUGUUCCCGCCCUUUUCUGUUAAUUCUGUUAUUCUGUUAGAAGUCAGUUACAGUUAGUUAAUAGUCGGUUAUUCCUUAACUGUCAACAUGCACAACGCAUGCUUAGUAUAAGCCUUCGGUCAGUGGCUAUAUAAGCCAGAUGUGAAUAAUGAAUAAAGCUCGAAUGAGUGGAAUACAAUUCUGUCAAUUGAAGAACAAAUUGUUAAUUCAAGAACAGUGAGUGUUGCAACAAUCCGAAGGACAAGGAAGUUUGCAGAAGUGCUAGAAGAUUGGGAGCUUGACUAUGGGCCUCACCGAUUUAAAUUCAAAGAUCUUUAUACUGCCACCAAAGGAUUUAGAGACGAGGAGCUAUUGGGUAGUGGUGGAUUUGGUAGAGUCUACAAAGGUGUCUUGCCAACCUCGAAGAUUCAGAUUGCGGUGAAAAGGGUGUCUCAUGAAUCAAGACAGGGGAUGAGGGAAUUGGUGGCGGAAAUUGUCAGCAUUGGUCUCCUUCGUCACCGGAAUUUAGUCCCUCUCUUGGGGUACUGCCGGCGUAAAGGAGAGGAUUGGGGGAUUUUGGCCUUGCAAGAUUGUAUGACCAUGGAACAGAUCCUCAAACGACCCACGUUGUUGGAACUCUUGGGUAUCUCGCACCUGAGCAUGCACGAACUGGGAAGGCCACGACAAGGACUGAUGUGUUCGCUUUUGGGGCCUUCCUGCUUGAGGUUGCUUCUGGUAGAAGGCCAAUACAGCCAACUGAGGAUAUAAUCUUGGUUGAUUGGGUGUUUGGUCGAUGGCUUGGAGGUGAAAUUCUGGAGGCAAGGGAUCCCAAUUUGGGAACAGAAUAUAUUGCAGAGGAAAUGGAAUUGGUAUUGAAACUUGGUUUGAUGUGCUCUCAUUCUGAGCCUGCAGCAAGGCCAAGCAUGCGCCAAGUACGUUCCUCUGCCUGACAUUUCACCACUUCGUCUUUCUGCAAGUGGCAAAAAAUUUGCACAUCGGGAAGGUUUUGAUGACUUUGCCAAUUCUUAUCCUUCUUCUAUGGACAAGGCAUCUGCACAUUCGUCCUCGGUUGCAGAGUCCCUCCUUUCAGGUGGCCGUUGAAUUAAUGUCUCAGAAGCUGCUGAUGUGGAAGAUGGAAGAGUUUACAGUCAAAUAAAACUCAUGUUGGUUUGAAGUUUUAAAAGUUUUUAAGGAUUUGCAUAAUCUUCUUUUCUGUUAUGUAACAAACAGCAGCAGAUAUUGCUGCUGUUUGUUUGCUUUUGCUGUUUUAAGAAGUGUUUAAAUAAGACUUCUGAUAAUCAAUAAGAUUAACUAAGUUUUCAGAAUAGCUUUGUUCUGUAAACAUUUACAAUUUAUUCUGUCAAAAACUAUCAGACCUUAUCAAGAACUCAUGUAACAUCCAUUUGGUGAAUCAGAGGAGUUUCUGCAUGCAAUACAUUACCUUAUGAGUGGGUUUUUUUUAUUAAAAAAAACUAUGUAGUAAACUGCCUUUAGGAGAUGUACAUGAAAGAUCACCUGCAAAACAAUGAUGCAAAUUAAAUAAAAUGCAUAACACGGUGUCUCUCCCUUUUGUUUACGUUGAUGUAUCACAUAAGAAAGCAAAUUAAAUAAAAUGUAGGUUUGGCUUGUUUACCUAAGUUUACACGAUUUGUUUUAUUUUUUUUGUUAUUUUUUAAAGUUAAUUUUUUAUAGGGUUUAUGGGUUUUUUAGUCUUUUAACUUUUUUAUUGUAUAAUGAAAUAGAAUAAAUAUAUUUGUUUCUGAAAAAAAAAAAAAAAAGCUAGUUACAUGUCACUUAGUAUGCAUGAGCUAGGUAUACGUCGCAUAUUUUAAGUAAAAAGAUGCAAUAAUGGGAUAAAAAUAUUACAUCUCAAAUAAAAAAUAUUCUAUUAGUAAAUAUAAAAAUCCUAGCACCUUGGGCUCGAGCUACUAAGCUCAAGCCUAAUAUACAGUUGGGGCUCAAGGGCUCAAGAAGCAUGAGCUCGGGCAUGAUAGUCUAAACCCAUACUAGCUCUAAGUGCAUGGGCCUAAACAAUAUGCUCAAGCCCAUUUUAUGAUGGACACACGCCUAUCCUACUGUGCAUGUUGUCAUGGCCAAACAUUUUCACAUCGUGAAGGUUUUGAUGAGUUUGCCAAUUCUUAUCCUUCUUUUAUGGAUAAGGCAUUUGCACAUUCGUCCUCGGUUACAGAGUCCCUCCUUUCAGGUGGCCGUUAAUUCUUGCUUUUCUUCAAGGAACUUAUCAAGAACUCAUGUAAGAUCUAUUUGGUGAAUCAGAGAAGUUCCUGUAUGCAGUAUAUACAUUACCUUAUGAGUGUGUUUUUUCUAUAUAAAAAAAAUAUUAUGUAGUAAACUGCCUUUAGGAGAUGUACAUGUAAGAUCACCUGCAAAACAAUGAUCCAAAUUAAAUAAAAUGCAUAACACGGUGUGUCUCCCUUUUGUUUAUGUUGAUGUAUCACAUAAGAAAGCAAACAUGGUAACAAAUCAUGAAGCAGGAGGUAAUGUUUAAAAGACAUGCAUAGUUAUAGUUGGAAGUAGUUCAGCAAGUUAUCUGAAUUAAUCUGCCAACUACCAAGACUCUGUCUGUUAAAGAACCGAUUCAAGUUGGUUCUUGGCCAUUGGCGACUAGUAUUUUAUUAUAUAAGCAACUUAAAAGAGCUAUAAUAGAGAGUUUUGAUCAAAGUAUUUAUAUGAUGAAAUAUUUAGUAAUAAAAUUUCAAAUCAAAGUUUGUGGUGUGACCAUAUUUGACAUAAUUUUAGGUUGCUUGUUCUUCUAUCUUUCUUGAUCUUGUGUUGCUUCCAUUUGCUAUUAAUGUGGAACUGGGCUUGGUGGGCACCAUUCAAUUGAAUUUCAGGUUCUCUUGAAAUUCCUACUUGGAAGUGGGAAUACAUUCUAUACAUACAGAAACUUCAGAGAUGAAAAAUCCCUCCUUGAUAACAAUAUCCCAUUCCACUCACUGACAAAAGUUUGCAAGAUUCCUCUCUUUCGUUAUCAUUUUCUUUCUGUUGAUCCAAGCAAGUUCAGUUCAAGAGACCCUGAGAUUUAAGAAACAAGACUUCCUUCUUAUAAUCAUUGAACAAUUAUGCCGACAUUUUUGGUUUGCGUUUGCCCAAUUCAAGACUUGUGUGGUUUGCGUUUGCCCAAUUCAAGACAACCCUAGUGAAUGAUAUGAAAAGAGAAGAAAAUGAUAUCACACAACAUUCACAGGCAAAUUUACGUGCUUACUACAAACACAUGGUAAACCACAUAGCCAAUCCAAGAUAGAUUUAUAGACCGGAUACAUUUUUUUUAUUAUUAUUUAUUCAUGUGGGUGUCCGGGCCAGCUUGAGCGCACCACAACUAAUCCCACGGCUCACUGAAUAUCCUGAAAACCCAGUGAGCAUGUAAAGCACUGCAAGGGUGACAGACAUACACGCUGAGGCUUAAACUCAGGAUAAAGAGAAGGAAACUCCUUACCACCACUAGGCUAGAAGCCUUGGUGUGACUCGGUACAUUCUUAAUUAACACAAAAGCAAGAUUAACCAAUUCUAGGAGCUCUCUCGAUUUUGCCGAAUGAGUCAACGUGUAAUCGUACUCUAUUCUGUCGAAAAUCCUUGGUCACAAAGCAAUCAGGUUGAACGACUUGAAUUUGAGCGCCUGGCUUCUCCUCCUUUAUCUUUCUUUCAGCUUCUUCCGCUGUUAAGCCAACUAGCUCAGGCCAUGUUGUUUUUGCAGCAGGAUUUGACCCCAGCCCGUACAUUCCUAAAACUUGUCCAAACCAAAGCAUUCAUAAAUGGAAAAUAUAGAUGUCAUAAUCGUGUGUAAGAAAAAAGAAGAAGAAAAGAAAGUUAAAACAUGCCAUAGUUGUUAGCAAACUAAAAAUAUUACUGCUAGGAAACUAAUGUUUGAGAUUAUCUGAAUAUAAUGGUUUUGAAUUACUGAUAGAAUCUUAGGUAUAUCAUCCUUUCCCCUUGUUUUUCGAGAGAAACUAUAAUUGUUAAAAUCAGGACACGAAUGGUCAGAUCAUAUAAAAUUAAGGACCUUCAAGUCCUCGAUAGAAUAAUAUUUUUUGAUCUCUGCCUUCGAUCGUGAUCGCCAGAAUCACGUGAUGGUACUUCUUACAAACAACAAAACAUCAAAAAAUGAUUUUUCUUUAUACUUACUUGGCAAGGGUGGCACAGCUUGAUCAGCAGGUGGUUCUUCAGGGGACUUGAUCUGUUGAUUUUCUUCGGUCAUAGCAAAGCUCUGAACAGGAGGGGACAGCUAAUUUCCUUGUAUUUGAGAUUUUAUACUUUGUUUGUUAGGAGGGUUGAAGGAUGGAUAAGAGGCUAAUUUAAGAUAAAAUAAAGAAUUAAUGCUUUUUGUUUUAUUUUUUCAGCUUUUGAAAACAAAAUGUAAAAACCUAUUCGUUUUGUUUUUACAAAAAUCACAAAAAAAGAAAAAAGUAACAAUACAUUUUGAUUUGGUUUUAAAAGUUUUCAUAGUUGAAUUUAGUACCAUCAACUUAUGAUUUGGUAGCUAGAUUGGAUUCGAUACUUUCCACAGUAUUUUAUAGAGAGCUAUGGAACUAUUUACUUUCCAAUUGUACUGUUAAUUACAAUUUUUUACAGAUAAAAUCAUUGGCGGAUUGAAAAGUCAUCGAUGUUAUUUUGUGGUUUUCUGAAAAAUUUAGCUUAAAUUAAAAAUUAACAGAUUGAAAAGUUGUCGGUGAUGUUUGGUGGUUUCUGAAUUUUUUUUAUUAAAUUCAAAAUUUGAAUUAAAUAUUACUGACGGAACCACCGACGAAAUGAUUAAAAAUAUUAAUAUUUAAUUAUCCGUCGGUAAAACACCACAAUAAAAAGCCUACAAUUCCUAAUUUCACAAGAGACCUGUCUCCUUUCUUCUUCUUCUUCCUCUACUUCUUCUUUUUCUUCUGUUCUCUUCUCAACUCCUUAUCUUCUCCUCCAUGCUCAUGUAUGUUUUCUUCUCCUUUUUUUUUUUCCUAGUUUUUUUUUAUUAGUAUACUCUACGAAUUUGUUUUUCUUUUCUUCUUAACUUCACUUACAACUACAUUAAGGUAAAAAAAAACUUCUUUUUUCAUGUUUUUUUCACUAUAUUUGUUUAUUUUUUUUAUUUUUUUUUAUUUUUUUUUCUUAAUAAUUGUAUGAAUGUUGUUGUAGGAAUUUAUUUUAUUCAAAUAAGAUCAAUUUUUUAGUUGAAUUUAUUUUUUCAUGUUAUUUAUUGUUGCAAAUUUGUUUGAAUUGAUUUUCUUCUCUCUUUUUUUUCGAAACAUUUUGAGUAUUAUAGAGUGUUGAUUAAUAUUACUUUAAUUAUUUUAUAGUUUUAUAAAAUAGAUUUUUUAAAAUAUUUUUAAAUAAUUACCGACAAAAUUACAUACGGUAUUUUUCUAAGGAAAUUACCGAUGGAAUGAAGCGGGUAUUUUUUUUUUUGCCUGCUUUUUCCAUCAAUAAAUCCAUUGGUAAUAAUAUUUUUUUUAUUACAAACGGACUUACCGACAGACAAUAAAUUACCAAUGAAUGAUUCAUCAACGGAGAAUUUUCAUCGGUAAUUUUGUUGGUAAAUUAAUUACCAACAGAAUAGUAGUGUAAAUACCGAUAAAAAAUUUCGUCGGUAAAUCUAAAGAUUAUGAUAGUGAUUCCAUGAAUAUUGACGAAAUUUUCUAGCGGUUUUGACAAUGAAUAAGGAGAUGUUCCACUGACACUUCAUAUCAAAGCUCAAUAGUGCUAAAUUUGAAAAAUUGGAACAACUUUUUGAAAAGGUUUUGUGAGACUCAGACAAAAAAAUAUAGAAGUCCAAGCUUUUGUUAGGUAAAAACUCGUAGACCAAUAUCGUUUCAUCUCUUUAAAUGCAGCAUCCAAGAAGCCUCACUAGAUUCUAGUGUUGAAGUUUCAAAACAUCUUUUACUUAAUUUUUUAACUCAUCAAGUCCUUGUCUUGAACUCUUAGAGAGCCUUUUGACAGCUAUUUCUUAUCCAUGAUGUUCCACGCAAAUAAUGACUCAGCAUCUAAGAAAAUCCUGUGUUGUAUUUCUUGAAGAAUUUUUUCUUAUCACUUAAUUUUUUUUAAGAAAAAAGCAUGGCUUUUUUUAUAAUUUGUUUUUUAUAGAGUUAUUCUAGUAUUAUAACCAAUGUUAUGAAUUUUGCAGAUUAACUCGAAUUGAAUUGAGUUAUUUUUCAUUGUUUUUUUUUUCAUUUGUGUUCUUUUCAAUUUUAUAGUUCGGCACUAGGUUGGUUAAGAACCAAUCUUUAAGCUUUUUUUUUAUUUGUUUUCUAUGUGGUAAUCUUAUUCUCAUGACUUUAAUAGUGGAUUUAGCUUGUUAAUCUAGGUUUGCGUGAUUUUUUUAAAUUAGUUUUUUAUAGGGUUUAGGGGCUUUAUAGUCUUUUAACUUUUUUAUUGCAUAAUAAAAUAAAAUAAAUAUAUUUUUUAAAAAACCAAAAAAAUGGGUACAUGUCACUUAGCAUAUUUUGAUUAAAAAGAUGCAAUAAUAGGAUGAUAGAACAUCUUUCUUCUAAAAGGGUUAUAAUGAAAUUAGAUCUUAAGUUAAAAAUAUUCUACUAGUGAACUUAAAAAUCCUAGCAACAACUACUUGAACACAUGCAAACCAUACAUUUACAUAGAUUACUGCCUCAAUAACAUACUACCUAUUGGAUUAAAAAAUGUAGACUAAAAAACCUCUUAGAAAAUAGGCCUAAAAACACCCAUUGGGCUCAGGCUACUAAGCUCGAGCCCAAUAUACAGUUGGGGCUCAAGGAGCAUGGCAGCCUGAGCCCAUACUAGGCAUAGGUGCAUGGAGCCAAACAACAUGCUCAAGCCCAUUUUAUAUCAAUCUAAUACGUAUUAUUUUGAGUAUAAUAUAACUCAAAAUAUCACAAUGAUAAAAUUACACUUUAGCCCCUCCAACAAGAUUUAUGAGCUAUAAAUACGUUAUGAAUCGUUCAAGUCUAAGGUUCGCAAUCUCUUCAUUCUUAACAUUUUUAGCAUAAAUAUUUUCAGAAUCUAUUUCUCUAAAAUAUCGUUAGACCUUUUCUCUCUACAAAGUUACCGAGUUUACCAUUAGCAAGUCCCCAUGUCCAUAAUAGGAGACCUUUUGCUCGUGCCAACAACCAAACUACCUGGUUUACCAGGCACCACUUGAUACUACCACAACUGUCGAUCACUUGAUUUACUAGACAUCAUCUACUACUAGCAUGGUUAUUAAUCAUUUGACUUACCGGGCACCACCUACUACCGGUUACCAACUUUUUAGGCUUUCUAUAUUAAGCUACCAAAUACAAUGACUACUUUGUUUUCUCUAGGUGCUUCGCCUUGUAGGCACCAUUUAGGAGUGACUUUCAAUAUAUUUUUCAUUAAAAUUUGAAAAUUGUUUUUGCUUCAAAUUAUUUUUUUAGUGUUUUUGGAUCGUUUUGAUGUGCUGGUGCCAAAAAUAAAUUAAAAAAUGAAAAAAAAAACAUUAUUUUGAUGCUUUUUUGAAGUAAAAUACACUUUAAAAAGCAAUCGCUACCAUAUUCUCAAACACCUCCAUAAUCUAAUUUUCUAACUCAACUUUUCUUUAAUUGAUUAAAAGAAAAAAUGUCAUGUGUUGUUAUGUUAUGCAAAAGGCGGGUUCCCUUUGUAGGUUUCACUGAUAUUUGUUUCUUUCUAAGAUGAAUUAUAGAUUAUUAUAAUUGAGUUUUCUAUUGUAUGUUCUUAGAGGGUGUUUCGAAGUGUGGUUGUGGUUGUGGUUGUGGUUGUUUUUCAAAGUAUUUUCACUUGAAAAUGCAUCAAAAUAAUAUUUUAUUAUUAUUUUAAAAAAAAUAUUUUGUAAUUUCAAAAUUUGCCCAACUCUUGUUUAUAAUGCAGUACCAUCAUGGGAUUAGCAUCUUAGUUUUUACGAUGAGUUGGAAUUGAUUUAUCUCUCUUGCAUUAGAUGUCAUAUUUUAGUCCACUUCUACAUUAGUAAAUAAAAUUUUGAUCUUUGUAUAGGAAUGUCUAUUAGAAACCAAGUCUUUCCUUCCUUUGUCAGGAGGCACAUGUGGAAGUUGCAUCCACGAAAAAUUUCAGUGGAUCUAUCAUAAAUUAAUUUAUUUGUUCUUAAUUCUAUGCUUUUUUUUACCAUUUUCUUUUAAGUGGAUGAUGCGAACCUCAUGGUCACGCAACCCACACGCAAAGACACCAAUUCCCGGAAAGCCAAGUAAAUUAGGUUUGAUAGGAGUGUGACACAAAGAUAACUUGUACCUACGCACCAGUACUAUUGGAAACGGAAACCCCCACCCAAUGAAUAUUGAUUCGCGAACGAGAAGUAUAAGGAUGAUGCCACGAAGACAGUUGUUCUUCGAUAAGUCGUUUUUCAGUUCUUUAGAGAACCAUGAAAGACAGAUUAUCUCACCAAUACACACACACACACACACAAAGUGCGGCAAACAAGAAGUUUUAUUAAUCUGAAUUGUCUACUUACAUGUCUGGUUAUGCCCUUAUUUAUAGCGACUGCAAUCUAAAAUAAACCCUAAUGGACCCCUUAUGUGGACUUAUAUGAUGCCCACUUACAAUUAAGGCCCAAAUAAUAUAAAUAAACCCUAAACUAAGAAGAAAAUAAUAAUAAAAUAAAUAAAUCCGAAUUUAAUAUCCUAAAUAUGAUAGGAUCAAAUUUGUAGCCCUUUAGAAGUCCUAUAUAAGCUAGGAGAAUCAAAUCUGAAGGUAGAAUUAGUUCUGAAAUCUUCUUUCCUUUUUGUAGCUAGGAUGAAUAAGGAAUCCUUGUAAGAAAAGGAUUCUGAAACAUUUAUAAAUCCUUGCCACACUUGAAAACUAUGUUGCAUCCCAUUAAAGAUCUUUGUAGAAUUAGGAGAUUCCCAAAAUAAGCUGCCGCAUCCUUUUAGAAAAAGAAUCCUAGCCAAAUAGGAAGUCCACAAGUCAAAAGGAAGUAAAUAACAAAAACUCGUACAGCCUCUGUUGACCCGUGUUUGGAUGCCUUGCCAAACUCUGAUUGACAUGAUAUUUUAACCCAAGGUACGAGAACAUGUCAGGAGCCUCCACGUAAAAUUUCAGCCCGAUCCAACGAUAGGAUUGAGAAUUAUGACUAUUUCCGUAAAACUGGAUAGUUGCGCAUUUUACGUCAAAAUCCGAAUUUGACCUUGCCUGAAUCGUAUCAAUGGAUCUAUCAUAAAUUUAUAAAAUUAGUCAAGAUCCUUUCCAAAAACAACUCUACCGAUUAUCAUAGCAUUUUUUUCGAGUUUUUAGGCUCCCAAAGCCCGGGGGGGGUGCCCGGGGUUGUGUGUAACUUAGACUUUAGAGCCAGUGUUUGGAUUCUUAUUUUUUUAUUAUUUGAAUGUUUUGAUCCGUUUAUAUAUAUUUUAAUUAAUUUUAUCAAUUUUAAAAUUAAUUAAAUACAAUAUAAAUCUUCAAUAAUUUUAAAAGGACUCGACUCUUAAAAAAAAACCUUAUUGUUUCGAAGAUAGUGAAAAUAUUUUUUAAAUUAUUUUUUUUAUAUAAAUAUAUUAAAAUAUUUUUUAUUUUUUAAAUUUCAUUUAUUACAUCAAUAUAUCAAAAGUAAUAUAAAAACAUUAAAAAUUUAAUUUAAUUUAAAAAAUCUAUUCAACUGCAACUGAAACAAUACCUAACCGCGAAAUUUCACGGAAGAGUUGCUGAAAGCCUGAAAUUGACUAGUUUUUCAUGUUGCCUUACAAUUUGGGUAUUGUGCAUUCACAUCAACCUGAAAGUUUGACAAGUUAGAUUAUCUCAACCACUGAAUGCAAAUAUUCUCCUCAUUGUUUGACUAAUUGGCUCUCUCAUUAAGAAACAUUUAUUUUACGGAAAGUGAUUCUUAAAAGUUACUUUUCAUUUUUUUUUUUAUCAUUAAAAUAAUUAGUUAAUAAAAAAUAUUUUUCAAUAAUAAAAAAUUAAAUUAAUUUACAUGAAAAUAUUUUAUUUAUUUUAAGUAGAAAAUACUUUUUAAAAGUUAUGAAAAUUUUAGAAAAUUCAAGUUAUUUACUGUUCUAUUAAAUUUAGUUCUCAAGCUUUUAUUUUGAGUAAAAAAUUGUUAUUUUUUUUAAUUUUAUCUCUUAAAACUUGAUUUAAUUUAAUUUUUAUAUCAACUUUAAUCCUUGUUAUUUUUAAUGAUAUUUUCAUUUCUCUUAUUAUUUUUUUAAUUUAAAUUUUGUAUCUAUCAGAUUUGGUUUUCAUUCUUUUGAUUGUUAUUUAUUUUAUUUAAAAUAAUUUAUGAAAUUGUAUUUUUUUUUUAAUUUCAUCAUCUUUUAACUUUUUUAUAUUUUAGAUUUGAUUUUUAUUAUUUUUAUUUAUUUUAAUUGAGAUAAUUUAUGAAAUUAGAUUUUUUUUAAAAAAAAUUAUUCUCAUUCAACUUUUUAAUUUGUAAGAUUUGUUUUCUUAUUAUUUUAAUAAACUUAAAAACAAUAUUAACAAUUUAUGUUUCAACUUAUUUUUCAUAACAUAACCAAACACUAAAAAGUAUUUUCUAAUUUAUUUUCCACAAUACUACUAGACAUACAAAAAUAAUUUAGGAAUACAUUUUCUAAAAAAAACACUUUUCAAAAAAUAAUUAUUUUGCCAGCACACAGACUAACUCAUGGAUUACGCGGAUACUCCAUUAUAACUGACACACAUGAACAAGAAACUGGUGGGUGGAGACAAACACAGUUGCAAUGUUAUUCAGGAUCGUCUUCUUGGUGCGUGUCUUGGUUAGCUUAGCAAUAGCAGCCUCUCAAGAUCUCAACUUCACCUUCUCUGGCUUCCGAUCCACUAAUCUAAGCCUUGACGGCAUAGCUGAGUUAACCUCCAAUGGCCUUUUGAGGCUAACCAAUGAAACCUACCACCGAAUGGGUCACGCCUUCUAUCCAAACCCAGUAACCUUCAAGAACUCUAUAAAUAGCACUGCUUUCACCUUCUCCACUACCUUUGUUUUCGCUAUCAUACCUGAAUAUGCAACUCUUGGUGGCCAUGGUAUUGCCUUUGUCAUUGCACCCACAAGAGGUCUCCCAGGAGCCCUUCCAAACCAGCACCUUGGUCUAUUUAAUAGGACCAACAAUGGGAAUCAGACCAACCAUGUUGUUGCUGUGGAGCUUGACACGAUAUACAACAACGAGUUCAAUGAUAUCAAUGAUAACCAUGUUGGGAUUGAUAUUAAUGGUUUAGAGUCUGAACGAUCUGCUUCAGCUGGAUAUUAUUCCAAACUUAAUGGUAAGCUCACAAACUUGACACUAAUUAGUGGCCAUCCAAUGCAAGUUUGGAUGGAAUAUGAUGGCAUGGAGAAGCAAAUGAAUGUCACUAUAGCUCCGAUUGAUGUUGAUAAACCCAGUAGACCACUUUUGACUCUGUCUCGUGAUUUGUCGCCAAUCUUAAACAGUAGUAUGUAUAUCGGAUUCUCAUCAUCCACCAGUAAUUCUUAUUUCGCGUCCCAGUACGUGUUGGGUUGGAGCUUCAAGAUGAAUGGCAUAGCUGAAGCACUAGAUAUCUCUCGCCUUCCUAAGCUUCCUCGAGUAGGACCAAAGAAGACAUCCAAAUUCUUAACCAUUGUACUGCCUGUGCUCUGUUUAAGUCUUGUUUUAGUAGCAGUCUCGAGUAUAUCUUAUGCCAUCCGAAGGAGAAGGAAGUUUGCAGAAGUGCUAGAAGAUUGGGAGCUCGACUAUGGGCCUCACCGAUUUAAAUUCAAAGAUCUUUAUACUGCCACCAAAGGAUUUAGAGACGAGGAGCUGUUGGGUAGUGGUGGAUUUGGUAGAGUCUACAAAGGUGUCUUGCCAACCUCGAAGAUUCAGAUUGCAGUGAAAAGGGUGUCUCAUGAAUCAAGACAGGGGAUGAGGGAAUUUGUGGCGGAAAUUGUCAGCAUUGGUCGCCUUCGUCACCGGAAUUUAGUCCCUCUCUUGGGGUACUGCCGGCGUAAAGGAGAGCUACUUUUGGUAUAUGACUACAUGCCUAAGGGAAGUCUAGACAAAUACCUCUAUGACCAACCAGCAGUCGCCCUCAAUUGGAGCCAAAGAUUUAGAGUCAUCAAAGGCGUAGCUUCAGGGUUAUUAUAUCUACAUGAAGAAUGGGAGCAAGUUGUGAUUCAUAGAGAUGUCAAGGCUAGUAAUGUCUUGCUAGAUGGUGAAUUGAAUGGAAGAUUAGGGGAUUUUGGCCUUGCAAGAUUGUAUGACCAUGGAACAGAUCCUCAAACGACCCACGUUGUCGGAACUCUUGGGUAUCUCGCACCUGAGCAUGCACGAACUGGAAAGGCCACGACAAGCACUGAUGUGUUCGCUUUUGGGGCCUUCCUGCUUGAGGUUGCUUCUGGUAGAAGGCCAAUACAGCCAACUGAGGAUAUAAUCUUGGUUGAUUGGGUGUUUAGUCGAUGGCUUGGAGGUGAAAUUCUGGAGGCAAGGGAUCCCAAUUUGGGAACAGAAUAUAUUGCAGAGGAAAUGGAAUUGGUAUUGAAACUUGGUUUGAUGUGCUCUCAUUCUGAGCCUGCAGCAAGGCCAAGCAUGCGCCAAGUAGUGCAGUUCUUAGAGGGGAAUGUUCCUCUGCCUGACAUUUCACCACUUUGUCUUUCUGCAAGUGGCCUAACAUUUUCACAUCGUGAAGGUUUUGAUGACUUUGCCAAUUCUUAUCCUUCUUCUAUGGACAAUGCAUUUGCACACUCGUCCUCGGUUACAGAGUCCCUCCUUUCAGGUGGCCGUUAAUUCUUGCUUUUCUUCGAGGACCCAUCAAGAACUCAUGUAAGAUCUAUUUGGUGAAUAAGAGGAGUUCUUGUAUGCAACAUAUACAUUACCUUAUGCGUGUGUUUUUUCUAUAUAAAAAAAACUAUGUAGUAAACUGCCUUUAAGAGAUGUACAUGAAAGAUCACCUGCAAAACAACGAUGCGAAUUAAAUAAAAUGCAUAACACGGUAUAUCUACCUUUUGUUCAUGUUAAUGUAUCACAUAAGAGAGCAAACAUGGUAACAAAUCAUGAAGCAGGAUGUAAUGUUUAAAAGACAUGCAUAGUUAUGGUUGGAAGUAGUACCAAACUCUGUCUAUCAAAGGACCAAUUCGAGUUGGUUCUUGGCCAUUGGCGACUAGUAAUGGUUUUACAAAGAAUCAGAGUGUUCAGGCCAACUUUAUUCAAGUUGGCUAAUUGUAUAGUGUCAACGAGGUCAGUGAAGCACAAGGGUAUCUCUUUUCAUGGUCUCUAAUAACAGCAAUAUAGGUGGAUAGAUGAUCAGAACUUGAAAACGAGUAAUUUUGCUCCAACGCAUGGACACUUAUGUAGGAGAUUUUUUUUCUUUCUAAUGUAUAAUUUUAUAUUAACAUGCAUAAAUUUUAAUUCAUCGUGAUCGCCAGAAUCACGUGAUGGUACUUCUUACAAACAACAAAACAUCAAAAAAUGAUUUUUCUUUAUACUUACUUGGCAAGGUGGUUCUUGAGGGGACUUGAUCGGGUGAUUUUCUUCGGUCAUAACAAAGCUCUGAACAGGAGGGGACUGUUGGUUUCCUUGUAUUUGAGAUUAAAAAAAAAAAAGAGUGCCGGUGAAAUGAAAGCAGCAUGCCGAUUUAUAGAUCACACAGCAAGGUUUCACUAUUUCAAUUUCUAGAUGCAAUUGAACACUCGGUUUUCCCGACAUAAAAUUUGAGCAGAACAAACAAGGCACUAUAUUCUCCUAUUUGGCGUCAAGUCCGUCCAAAACAUUUGUAAGCAAAAAUAUGACUAAAGGUAACUACAAGUAAAUCUCCCAACUAUAUAGGGUUAGUCUCAGUUAGUCCUCAAAGAUUAAAAUUGAUCUAUUUUGCCCUCAACUAUUAAGCAUUAUCCUUUCUUGCUUCCUAAUCAGCACGCCUUGAAAGCGAUCAACAAAAUUAGUAUAUUACGCAUGUCUUUUGUGGUUUCCUAUUUUGAUUUGAUUUUAAAAGUUUUCAUAGUUGGAUUUAGUACCUUCAACUUAUGAUUUGGUAGCUAGAUUGGAUUCGAUACGUAACGAAAUGGGCUAGUAUCAAGUCCUAGAUAGAUCCAAAAUGUAUUGUGUCGAGCCACCUACAGUUAAAGCCCGAACUUGGUCAGAGGCAUCUGGAAAAAGUCCUGAGCACUUAUGGUCAAGCCGAGAAAGAGUAUAGGAAGCCUGAGUAGUUAAAGUUGAUCGGAGUCCAAGGUGCCUAAAUGUAAGACGGGAAUCGAGUUCUGGACACCUAAUGAUCUACCAAGGAAAUCCGAUAAAUUGCUAGGACAAACAUAGGGAUAAACCUCACUAUUCACUGCUAGAAAAUCGAUAAGUAUAAAUAAAAAUACUAAGAAAAUAUUUUUGUUGGUAAAUUACCGACAAAAAUAUUCCCUACAUUGAAAAAAAAAAAUUUAAAAAAAAAUAAUGACGUGUCAUUUUUACCAGCAGAAUUACUGAUAGAAUUAACUCCGUCGGUAAAAUCGUUUGUAAACUGUGAACACUAUUCGUCAUAUCAAUUACAAAGGGAAUCAUCAAUGAAAGCUUCUGUCAGUAUUUUACAGAGAGCUCUGAAACUAUUCACUUUCCAAUUACACUUUUAAUUACUAUUCUUUACAGAAAAAUCAUCGACGGAUUGAAAAGUCAUCGAUGUUAUUUUGUGGUUUUCUGAAAAAUUUAGCUUAAAUUAAAAAUUUUAAUUAAAUAUUACAGACGAAAUCACCAACAUAUUGAAAAGUAGUUAGUGAUAUUUGGUGAUUUCUAAAUUGUUUUGAUUAAAUUCAAAAUUUAAAUUAAAUAUUACAGACAGAAUCAACGGAAUAAUUAAAAAUAUUAAUAUUUAGUUAUCCGUCGGUAAAACGUCACAAUAAAAAACCUAGAAUCCCUAAUUUCACAAGAGACCCGUUUAUUAUCUUCUUCCUCUUCUUCUUCUUCUUGUUUUUUUUUCUUCUCUCUUCUCUACUCAACUCCUCUUCUCCUCCAUGCUCAAGUAUGUCUUCUUCUCCUUUCUUUUUUUUUCUUCCCAAUUUUUUUUAAUUAGUAUUCUUUACAAAUUUGUUUUUCUUUUCUUCUUAACUUCACUUACAACUACAUUAAGGUAAAAAAAAACAUUUUCUUCUUUUUUUGUGUUUUUUUCACUAUAUUUGUUUUUUAUUUUAUUUUUAAUUGUUUUUGUUCUAAAUAAUUAUAUGAAUUUGUUGUAGGAUUUUUUUUUCAUAUGAGAUCAAUUUUUAGUUGAUUUAUUUAUAGGAUUUUAAAAAAAUUUCAUAUGAUUUUUUUAGUUGAAUUUAUUUUUUGAUGUUAUUUAUUUGUUGCAAAUUUUUUGAGUUGAUUUUCUUUUUCUUUUUUCCAAGAAUUUUGAGUAUUAUAGAGUGUUGAUUAAUAUUAAUUAAAUUAUUUUAUGAUUUUAUAAAAUAGAUUUUUUAAAAAUAUUUUUUAAUAAUUACCGACAGAAUUACAUACGGUAUUUUUCUGAGGGAAUUACCGACGAAAUGAAACGGGUAAUUUAAUUGUUUUAUUACCAAACGAAAUUUUGCGUGGUUGCGGGUGAACCUCACCCGCAACCACAAAACCAAACACCCACUUAUUUUAUGGACAGUGAUUUGUUAAAAUCAUUUUUAAAAUUUUUAUUUAUUUGUUAUUAAAAAAAUAUUAAUCAACAAAAACUAUUUUUUAAUAAAAAAAAAUUAGCUUGAUUUACAUAAAAGUAUUUUAUUAUUUUGAGAAAAAAAAAACUUUUCAAAAGUUAUGAAAAAUUUAGAAAUAUCAUGUUAUUUACUGAUUUUAUCAAAUUUGAUCCUCAAAUUUUUUAUUUUAUAUAUUUUGUUUUGAAUAUUAUUUUUUCAAAUUCAUCUCUUUAAAUUUAAUUUGAUUUGCUUUUUAUAUUUAUUUUUUAUUUUUAAGAUUGUUAUUUGAUUUUCUUUUAUUAUUUUUUUAAUUGAAAUUAAUUAUUUAUUAGAUUUGGUCUUUAUUUUUUUUAUUAUUUAAUUUAUUUGAAAUAAUUUAUGAAAUUGUAAUUUUUUUUUAUUUUUAUAAAUUUUCAACUUUUUUAUCUAUUAGAUCUUUAUUAUUUUAAUUAUUAUUUAUUUUAUUUGAGAUAAUUUAUGAAAUUAGAGUUUUUUUAAUUUUACUUUAAUUUAAUUUUUUCAUUUUUAAGAUUUGUCUUUAUUAUUUUAGUAAACUUGAAAAAAUAGUAAUAAUUUAUUUUUUAACUUUUUUUCCAUGGUCAAAUACUAGAAAAUAUUUUAUAAUUUAUUUUUCAUAAUACAAUUAAAUAUUAGAAAACAAUUUACUUUUCAAGAAUUUAUUUUUUAAAUAACUAUUUAAAAAAUAUAUAUUUUUCAGCUAACAAACUGCCGACUCCUGAAUUACGUGGAUACUCCAUUAUAAGUGACAAACAUGAACAAGAAACUGGUGGGUGGAGACAAACACAGUUGCAAUGUUAUUCAGGAACGUCUUUUUUGUGCGUGUCUUCGUUAGCUUAGCAAUAGCAGCCUCUCAAGAUCUCAACUUCACCUUCUCUGGCUUCCGAUCCACUAAUCUAAGCCUUGACGGCUUAGCUGAGUUAACCUCCAAUGGCCUUUUGAGGCUAACCAAUGAAACCAAGCAACGAACUGGUCACGCCUUCUAUCCAAACCCAGUAACCUUCAACAACUCUAUAAAUAGCACUGCUUUCACCUUCUCCACCGCCUUUGUUUUCGCUAUCAUACCUCAAUAUGAAAGUUUUGGUGGCCAUGGUAUUGCCUUUGUCAUUGCACCCACAAGAGGUCUCCCAGGAGCUCUUCCAAGCCAGCACCUUGGUCUAUUUGAUGAGAACAACAAUGGGAAUCAGACUAACCGUGUGGUUGCUGUGGAGCUUGACACGAUAUACAACAGCGAUUUCAAAGAUAUCAAUGAUAACCAUGUUGGGAUUGAUAUUAAUGGUUUAGUGUCUGAACGAUCUGCUCCAGCAGGAUAUUAUUCCCAACUUAAUGGUAAGCUCACAAACUUGACACUAGUUAGUGGCCAUCCAAUGCAAGUUUGGAUGGAAUAUGAUGGCAUGGAGAAGCAAAUGAAUGUCACUAUAGCUCCGAUUGAUGUUGAUAAACCCAGUACACCACUUUUGACUUUGUCUCGUGAUUUGUCGCCAAUCUUAAACAGUAGUAUGUAUAUCGGAUUUUCAUCAUCCACCGGUUCUGUUUUCUCGUCCCAGUAUGUGUUGGGUUGGAGCUUCAAGAUGAAUGGCCUAGCUGAAGCCCUAAAUAUCUCUCGCCUUCCUAAGCUUCCUCGCAUAGGACCAAAGAAGACAUCCAAAUUCUUAACCAUUGGACUGCCUGUGCUCUGUUUAAGUUUGGUUUUAGUAGCAGUCUCGAGUAUAACUUAUGCCAUACGAAGGACAAGGAAGUUUGCAGAAGUGCUAGAAGAUUGGGAGCUCGACUAUGGGCCUCACCGAUUUAAAUUCAAAGAUCUUUAUACUGCCACCAAAGGAUUUAGAGACGAGGAGCUGUUGGGUAGUGGUGGAUUUGGUAGAGUCUACAAAGGUGUCUUGCCAACCUCGAAGAUUCAGAUUGCAGUGAAAAGGGUGUCUCAUGAAUCAAGACAGGGGAUGAGGGAAUUUGUGGCGGAAAUUGUCAGCAUUGGUCGCCUUCGUCACCGGAAUUUAGUCUCUCUCUUGGGGUACUGCCGGCGUAAAGGAGAGCUACUUUUGGUAUAUGACUACAUGCCUAAUGGAAGUCUAGACAAACACCUCUAUGACCAACCACCAGUCGCCCUCAAUUGGAGCCAAAGAUUUAGAGUCAUCAAAGGCGUAGCUUCAGGGCUAUUAUAUCUACAUGAAGAAUGGGAGCAAGUUGUGAUUCAUAGAGAUGUCAAGGCUAGUAAUGUCUUGCUAGAUGAUGAAUUGAAUGGAAGAUUAGGGGAUUUUGGCCUUGCAAGAUUGUAUGACCAUGGAACAGAUCCUCAAACGACCCACGUUGUCGGAACUCUUGGGUAUCUCGCACCUGAGCAUGCACGAACUGGGAAGGCCACGACAAGCACUGAUGUGUUCGCUUUUGGGGUCUUCUUGCUUGAGGUUGCUUCUGGUAGAAGGCCAAUACAGCCAACUGAGGAUAUAAUCUUGGUUGAUUGGGUGUUUAUUCGAUGGCUUGGAGGUGAAAUUCUGGAGGCAAGGGAUCCCAAUUUGGGUACAGAAUAUAUUGCAGAGGAAAUGGAAUUGGUAUUGAAACUUGGUUUGAUGUGCUCUCAUUCUGAGCCUGCAGCAAGGGCAAGCAUGCGCCAAGUAGUGCAGUUCUUAGAGGGGAAUGUUCCUCUGCCUGACAUUUCACCACUUCGUCUUUCUUCAAGUGGCCUAACAUUUUCACAUCGUGAAGGUUUUGAUGACUUUGCCAAUUCUUAUCCUUGUUUUAUGGAUAAGGCAUGUGCACAUUUGUCCUCGGUUCCAGAGUCCCUCCUUUCAGGUGGCCGUUAAUUCUUGCGUUUCUUCAAGGACCUUGUUGAAUUAAUGUCUCAGAAGCUGCUGAUGUGGAAGAUGGAAGAGUUUAGAAUCAAAUAAAACUCAUGCUGGUUUGAAGUUUUAAGAGUUUGUACGGAUUUGCAUAAUCUUCUUUUAUGUUAUGUAACAAACAGCAGCAGAUAUUGCUGCUGUUUUUUUGCUUUUGCUGUUGUAAGAAGUGUUUAAAGAAGACUUCUGAUAAUCAAUAAAAUUAACGAAGUUUUCAGAAUAGCUUUGUUCUGUGUUAACAUUUACAAUUUAUUCUGUCAAAAACUAUCAGACCUUAUCAAGAACUCAUGUAAGAUCUAUUUGGUGAAUCAGAGGAGUUCCUGUAUGCAAUACAUUACCUUAUGAGUGGGUUUUUUUUUAAAAAAAAAAUAUUAUGUAGUAAACUGCCUUUAGGAGAUGUACAUGAAAGAUCACCUGCAAAACAAUGAUGCAAAUUAGAUAAAAUGCAUAACACGGCGUCUCUCCCUUUUGUUUAUGUUGAUGUAUCACAUAAGAAAGCAAACGUGGUAACAAAUCAUGAAGCUCGAGGUAAUGUUUAAAAGACAUGCAUAGUUAUAGUUGGAAGUAGUACAAGAAUUACUCUGUUAAAUUUUUAAAAUAUAAUUUAUAUUAUUAUUUAAUAUAAUUUUCUGAGUAAAAAAAAUUUUAGCUUUAAAUUUACACCAAUUUAUUUUAUUUUAUAUUUUAUUUUAUUAUAUAAAUAAAAAUAAUAAAAUUUAAACUCAAGACUAUUUUGUUAUCAAAAUUCUGAUAACAUAUUAAAAAAUUAUUAAUUUAUAUUAUUCUACUCCACUUUUUCCUUGAUAAACCGAUCCUCUAUCUUUUAGCAUCAUAAAUAGUCCAGUUAUGCAUCAAUUCUAACUAGCUACGUGUCAGGAUUGAAUAACACAUGACUCGCAUUGACUCGACACGUAGAUAGUAACGUUACGACUAGUCGGUUUAAACUGAAACAACCUUUUCAAUCAUCACUCACUCUUUCCCUAACCUGGAAGACAAGCAACUCAAUAAAACAGAGAAGACCACCAAAAUUACUUGAGUUGUUAUUGGUUUCCUGUUUUGUACCAGGAAAUUAGGACAAACUAAAUUGGUAGCACGCGUUACGUGUUACGCUAUCGGUCAAAACUAGUAUUUCUCAGCGUAAAAAUAGGUAUUCAGGCAAACCUAAUUAAGUCAUUUAAAAAAAAAAUUAAUAUCUGAAACUCAGGUUAUUAACUAACUCCAUAGGAUUCAAUAAAUUAUGAUCCUUUUUGUCAUACUGAUUAGUCCGCAUAACGCAGAUUCUCCUUUAACUUACUCGUUCUUUAUUUUCACAUUUCAAAAACAUUUAAAAAAUAAAUAAACUUUUUAUUUAUUUUCUCUUUUACUUUAAAUUAAUAUUUUUAGUUUAUUUUAAUGUUCUAAUAUCAAAAAUAAUUUUUUAAAAAUAAAAAAAUAUAUCAUUUUGAUGUAUUACCAAAUAAAAAGUAUUUUAAAAAGCAAUCUUAACCACACUUCCAAACAGAUUCGGUCCUUAUUCAUAAAUAUUUCUAAAAGCUAUCCGAUUAUAAUAUAUCUACAAUCUAAGUGAUUAAAAUUACAUUGAAAUGUAAUUUAAUUGGUCAAAUUUUAAAUUUAUUUCCUAAAAGUUAUAGUUUGAAUAUCAAAAACCUCAAAAUUACUAAAAACUUAUAUGAUCAUGAAUUUCAAGGUUUUAAAAUAUUAUUCGAUGUACGUUUAAGCUGAUCUGAAUAUCUAUAAAUACCAAAAACAAAGUUACUUGUAUCGCUUGAACUGAAAUCCACAUACCAAAGUAGAUCACGUUUCAAUUUAUUUUAUUAAAUAUUUACAUUAAAUUUCCGGUUCAUAUAUAUAUAUAUAUAUAUAUAUAUAUAUGCUAGAAAAUGCUUUGAAAAUUAAAGUGUGUAUUUGCCUUAAUAAAAACUUUUUCACCCGACUCACUCAACAGGCCAGUAGUUACUAGACGAGGCAGCAGUAAAUUAAUCCCAUGAUAAAUUUAUGUUAAUGUGUAUAAAUUUUAAUCCAAUUGUUAGAUCAACUGUAAAAUUUGCUAGAAGCUUCCAGAGACCUUGGUUUCUUUAGGGUUAAAUUUUGAAGCAAUUGAUUAGGAGAUAAAUAAUUUUAGGUUGCUUGUUCUUCUAUCUUUCUUGAUCUUGUGUUGCUUCCAUUUGCUCUUAAUGUGGAACUGGGCUCGGUGGGCACCAUUCAAUUGAAUUUCAGGUUCUCUUGAAAUUCCUACUUGGAAGUGGGAAUACAUUCUAUACAUACAGAAACUUCAGAGAUGAAAAAUCCCUCCUUGAUAACAAUAUCCCAUUCCACUCACUGACAAAAGUUUGCAAGAUUCCUCUCUUUCUUUAUCAUUUUCUUUCCGUUGAUCCAAGCAAGUUCAGUUCAAGAUUUGAAACAAGACUUCUUAUAAUCGUUGAACAAUUAUGCCGACAUUUUUGGACCCUAUAAAUUUUAUGACUUGUGUGUUUUGCGUUUGCCCAAUUAAAGACAACCCAUAGUGAAUGACAUGAAAAGAGAAGAAAAUGAUAGCAGACAACAUUCAUAAUGGGGAGAAGGAUGUAUGGGCACACAUGGGCCAUAUAGAUUAGUUAUGUAAAUAGUAAUGGUGAACCAUUAAAUUUAAAUGGAAUCUGUCUUCUCAGAUGAAUAUUUCGUACAUGCCUAGCAGAUGUGCUUUUAGUAGUAUUACCUGUCCAUAAAAAAUAUCUAAAGGUGCAGAGGAUCUAGUUGAUGAUAGUAGCUGGAAGAGGGAAGACAGUUAUCCAGAAUUGAACUAUACCGAAGAGAAUAGUUUUCAAAAGCUCCAAUCAACCAGCAUAUGAGAGAUUUUUACCUCCAGUUCUAAAUUAUCGACUCUAAUUUGAAUAAAAAAAAGAGAAAAAAUGACUUGUCAAUAGCCUAUGAGGACUAAGAGGAAAACCCAAAUAUGUUAAGGGAAAGGAUCCUUAUUUAAAUCAAGAAUCAUGAAGAAGAGCCAGCUUCAAGUCAAUUCUCUCCUCUUUCCUUCAUUAAAGCAAUCUUAUUGCGUGGAAGGGUAGUGGAGAAUGUUUUUUAUUUUUUUAUUUAUAAAUAUAUUAAAAUAAUUUUUAAAUUUUAUUUAUUACAUUAAUAUAUCAAAAAUAAUAUAAAAACACUAGAAAAAUCAUUUAAAUUUAAUUAAAAAAUAUGUUUAACCUAACCGUGAAAUUUCAUGAAAGAGUUGCUGAAAUUGACUAGUUUUUCAUAUUGCCUUAAAAUUAGGGGUCUUGUGCUUUCACAUCAACCUGAAAGUUUGACAAGUUAGAUUAUCUCAACCAUGCAAAUAUUCUCUGCAUUGUUUCAUUAAUUGGCUCUCUCAUUAAGAUACAUUUAUUUCACGGAAAAUGAUUUUUUAAUUGUUUUUUUUUUUAAUAUAGAAAAUAAAAAAUACUAUAUUAUUUACUGAUUUUAUUAAAUUUGAUUUUCAUAUAUUUUAUUUUGAUUUGUUUUUAAUUUUAUCAUUUAAAAUUUAAUUUAAUUUGAUUUUUAAAUGAACUUUGGAUUUUAUUUUUAGAAUUGUUAUUUGUUUUUCUCUUAUUAUUUUCUUUAUUAAAAAUUUGUUCUUAUCAAAUUUGAUCAUUACUUUUUUUUAUUAUUUAUUUAUUUAAAAUAAUUUAUGAAAUUAUAAUUUGUUGUUAAGUUCAUAAUCUUUCAACUUUUUUAUAUGUUAUAUUUGAUCUUUAUUAUUUUGAUUGUUAUUUAUUUUAUUUGAGAUAAUUUAUAAAAUUAGAUUUUUUUAAAAUUUUAUUGUCAUUCAACUUUUUAAUUUAUAAGAUUUGUUUCUAAUUAUUUUAAUUAAAAAAAUAUUAACAAUUUAUUUUUAAGUUUAUUUUCCAUAACCUAGUCUAAACACUUAAGAGUAUUUUUUAAUUUAGUUUUUAUAUAUUACUAAAUAUUAAAAAAAACAUUCACUUCUCAUAAAAUUAUUUUUUUAAAAAAAUAAUUUUUCAACAAACAACCAGACUAACUCCUGAAUUACGUGGAUACUCCAUUAUAACUGACAAACAUGAACAAGAAACUGGUGGGUGGAGACAAAUACAGUCGCAAUGUUAUUCAGGAUCGUCUUCUUGGUGCGUGUCUUCGUUAGCUUAGCAAUAGCAGCCUCUCAAGAUCUAAACUUCACCUUCUCUGGCUUCCGAUCCACUAAUCUAAGCCUUGACGGCUUAGCUGAGUUAACCUCCAAUGGCCUUUUGAGGCUAACGAAUAUAACCUACCACCGAACGAGUCACGCCUUCUAUCCAAACCCAGUAACCUUCAAGAACUCUAUAAAUAGCACAGCUUCCACCUUCUCCACUACCUUUGUUUUCGCUAUCAUACCUGAAUAUCCAACUCUUGGCGGCCAUGGUUUUGCCUUUGUCAUUGCACCCACAAGAGGUCUCCCAGGAGCUGUUCCAAACCAGUACCUUGGUCUAUUUAAUGAGACCAACAAUGGGAAACAGACCAACCAUGUUGUUGCUGUGGAGCUUGACACGAUAUACAACAUCGAGUUCGAUGAUAUCAAAGAUGACCAUGUUGGGAUUGAUAUUAAUGGUUUAAAGUCUGAACGAUCUGCUUCACCAGGAUAUUAUUCUCAACUUAAUGGUAAGCUCACAAACUUGACACUAAUUAGUGGCCAUCCAAUGCAAGUUUGGAUCGAAUAUGAUGGCAUGGAGAAGCAAAUGAAUGUCACUAUAGCUCCGAUUGAUGUUGAUAAACCCAGUAGACCACUUUUGACUCUGUCUCGUGAUUUGUCGCCAAUCUUAAACAAUAGUAUGUAUAUCGGAUUCUCAUCAUCCACCGGUUCUUUUUCUGCGUCCCAGUAUGUGUUGGGUUGGAGCUUCAAGAUGAAUGGCCUAGCUGAAGCGCUAAAUAUCUCUCGCCUUCCUAAACUUCCUCGCGUAGGACCAAAGAAGACAUCCAAAUUCUUAACCAUUGGACUGCCUGUGCUCUGUUUAAGUUUGGUUUUAGUAGCAGUCUCGGGUAUAUCUUAUGCCAUACGAAGGACAAGGAAGUUUGCAGAAGUGCUAGAAGAUUGGGAGCUUGACUAUGGGCCUCACCGAUUUAAAUUCAAAGAUCUUUAUACUGCCACCAAAGGAUUUAGAGACGAGGAGCUGUUGGGUAGUGGUGGAUUUGGUAGAGUCUACAAAGGUGUCUUGCCAACCUCGAAGAUUCAGAUUGCAGUGAAAAGGGUGUCUCAUGAAUCAAGCAGGGGAUGAGGGAAUUUGUGGCGGAAAUUGUCAGCAUUGGUCGCCUUCGUCACCGGAAUUUAGUCCCUCUCUUGGGGUACUGCCGGCGUAAAGGAGAGCUACUUUUGGUAUAUGACUACAUGCCUAAUGGAAGUCUAGACAAAUACCUCUAUGACCAACCAGCAGUCGCCCUCAAUUGGAGCCAAAGAUUUAGAGUCAUCAAAGGCGUAGCUUCAGGGCUAUUAUAUCUACAUGAAGAAUGGGAGCAAGUUGUGAUUCAUAGAGAUGUCAAGGCUAGUAAUGUCUUGCUAGAUGGUGAAUUGAAUGGAAGAUUGGGGGAUUUUGGCCUUGCAAGAUUGUAUGACCAUGGAACAGAUCCUCAAACGACCCACGUUGUCGGAACUCUUGGGUAUCUCGCACCUGAGCAUGCACGAACUGGAAGGCCACGACAAGCACUGAUGUGUUCGCUUUUGGGGCCUUCCUGCUUGAGGUUGCUUCUGGUAGAAGGCCAAUACAGCCAACUGAGGAUAUAAUCUUGGUUGAUUUGGUGUUUAGUCGAUGGCUUGGAGGUGAAAUUCUGGAGGCAAGGGAUCCCAAUUUGGGCACAGAAUAUAUUGCAGAGGAAAUGGAAUUGGUAUUGAAACUUGGUUUGAUGUGCUCUCAUUCUAAGCCUGCAGCAAGGCCAAGCAUGCGCCAAGUAGUGCAGUUCUUAGAGGGGAAUGUUCCUCUGCCUGACAUUUUACCACUUCGUCUUUCUGCAAGUGGCCAAAAAUUUGCACAUCGUGAAGGUUUUGAUGACUUUGCCUAUUAUUAUCCUUCUUCUAUGGACAAGGCAUCUGCACAUUCGUCCUUGGUUGCAGAGUCCCUCCUUUCAGGUGGCCGUUAAUUCUUACUUGUCUUCCAGGACCUGUUGAAUUAAUGUCUCAGAAGCUGCUGAUGUGGAAGAUGGAAAGUUUACAGUCAAAUAAAACUCAUGUUGGUUUGAAGUUUCAAAAGUUUGUAAGGAUUUGCAUAAUCUUCUUUUCUGUUAUGUAACAACACAGCAGAUAUUGCUGCUGUUUAUUUGCUUUUGCUGUUUUAAGAAGUGUUUAAAUAAGACUUCUGAUAAUCAAUAAGAUUAACGAAGUUUUCAGAAUAGCUUUGUUCUCUGUUAACAUUUACAAUUUAUUCUGUCAAAAACUAUCAGACCAUAUGAGUGGAUUUUUUUAUUAAAAAAAACUAUGUAGUAAACUGCCUUUAGGAGAUGUACAUGAAAGAUCACCUGCAAAACAAUGAUGCAAAUUCAAUAAAAUUCAAUUAAAUUAUUAAAUAAAAUUCUAAAAUAUAAUUAAUAUUAUUCUACCUCACUUAUUCAUUAAUAAACCGAUCCUCUAUUUUUGAGCAUUAUAAAUAGUCCAGUUCUGCAUCAAUUCUAACUAGCUACGUGUCAGAUUGAAUAACACAUGACUGGCAUAGACUCUAUACAUAGAUAGCAACGUUACGACUGGUUGUGUUAAACUGAAACAACCUUUUCAAUCCUCACUAUCACUCUUUCCCUAGCCUGGAAGACAAGCAACUCAAUAAAACAGAGAAGACCAUCAAAAUUACUUGUGUUGUUAUUGUUUUCCAGUUUUGUACCAGGAAAUUAGGACAAACUAAAUUGGCAGCACGCGUUACGUGUUAUGCUAUCGGUCAAAACAAGUAUUUUUCAAUUGUAACGGAGCUAGAAUAUUUUAAAUGAAGGUGCAAAUUAAUUAAUAAAUAUAUACUAUAUUAUAUAAAUAUACUUAAAAUUUAAUUUUAAAUAAAUAUACUAACUCAUAUAAAGCAAAACUAAUUUAAAAAUACUUUUAAAAUGAAAAAACUUACAUUAUAAUUAUUCUCUUUAAGUUUUCAUAAUAACAAAAUUCAGUUCAGUUAUACAAUAAUUGUAAAUAUUCCAUAUGAAAUUUAUAAUACAAUACACAUUAAUUCAUCAAAAUGCAUGGAUAUAGAUCAGCAUUGAUAGUUUAAAUUUAUCAUGAUAGAUUAUUUUUAAAAACAAAAAAAUAGUUUUAUUUUAAAAAAAAACUAAAAUUUAAUUUUGCAAAUAUUAAUCUUUACUCACUGACAACAAUUGAAAUGUUUGCUUGUUUAUCUUGUGAAAAAAAAAAUUUCAUAUCAUAAUUAAUUCAAUUAAAAUUAUAUUAUUUACUGAUUUUAUUAAAUUUGAUUUUUAAAUUUUUCAUUGUUAUGUAUUUUGUUUUGAUUUUUUUUAAUUUCAUCAUUGUUGCUACCCAAUUUUUGACCUAUGUUUUGAUAAAUUUUUUAAAAAAUCUAAAAAUAGAGAAAAACAAUGAAAAUAAAAAAAUAUAUAUGUUUUUUAAUAUAUUUGCAUCAUUUUUAGCAUUUUCAGCGUCGUCUAAAAAAGAAUUUAAAUUUUAAAGGGUAUUUCAAAUGCGUUCGACUUUUCACACAUCAUUUUUAAAAUCUUUGAUUUUCCUCAUCGAGUCGACGUUGAUAUUGCUUGUUUUCAAAAAAUACAAAAAAAUCAAAAAAAAUCAAAAUUUACAAAAACAGAAGAAAUUGAGGGACCAAUUUUGAAAACCUAGCAAUAUUUAUGCCUAUAAAUACUGGUUUCCUCAACACACUCAAAGGGGGGGUAAUUUUGAAAUAUCAGAAAAAUCACAAAAAACCCUAAUGCUAAACUUAUCUCUACCCAAAAAAAAAAGAACACAGCCCCCCCCCCACCCUUUGCUUUUUUUGACACCGGCCAAACAACCCCCCAAAACCCCCCGGAUUAUUUUUUUUUCUUCUUCCUUUCUCCCUCACCAGCAGCCACACUCUCAGCCCCUCACUCCACAGCUGCCGGUCACCAGACCUCUCUCCCCCUCAGCCGUUCCUUCUUCCCUUGGCUAACAACACCACCACAACUCCCUUUUUUUUUUCCUCUGAUUUUCUCCACCCGGCCGGCCAAACGACAGCAGCAACAAGAUCUGCCAUCGGCAGAAGAAGAAACCCACCGCUGGAAACAAAGAACAACGGGGAAACAGUAGCAGCGACGGCCCCAUCCUCGUGCAGCAGCGCCGUGUUCCUCCAGUAGCAGCAAUCGGGCAACGAACAGAGCCCAUCACAGCGGCGACCGAGCUCCUCCAGCACGCUCACAGACCCCGAUCGGUCCAUUCCUCCGCCUAAACAUCGACAGCAAUCCCCUCUCCAUUGUGGUUUCAGCCGCCGGACGGACGACAGUAGCAACGACCACAGCCGCGACCCCCUUUGCAUCGCCACCCGAUCUGGCACCCGAAGUAGAGGAGAAGAAGACGGAACCCCUAACGAACUGACCCGGGGAGAAGAUGAUCUGAAGAAGGAGAAGAAGGAGUAGAUCGGAGAAAAAAAAACAAAAAAAAAACAACUGUUUGUUGCGUUUCUUGGCUUUGCAGGUGACAUACCUCUCACCACCGACAGGGAAUGCUGAGAAGAAGACGAUCCAUACACCCCUGGUUUGCCCGGUUUUCCAGCGGCGGCGCGUGAACCCACGCGCCGCCAGUGGCGAUGGCGUGUGGGAAGACGCACCGCUACUGUUCAGGCAACUCCAAAAAAAAAUUUCCUGAAUUUUAGGGACUAUUCUGUAAUUUUUCAAUUAUUUGAUGUAAUUUUUGUUUAGUUGUUUUGAAUUGGUAAUUUGUAAUGUGAUGUACAAAAAGAACAAAAAAAAAGAAAAAGAAAAGAAAAGAAACAAAUAUAGUGAAAGUGUAUGUGUGUUGGUAUUUGUUUUAUCAUUUGUUUUAUUUUUUUAUGAAAAAAUUGCAAAGAUUAAGGAAGAAUUUAAUAUUUUGAUUGGAUCACGGUCAAGAAUUAUUAACUUAUACGUAAGUUGUAUUUCUAAUAUCCGAUGAAAAGAUAAAAUUUUAAAACUUCUUUAACACGUCAAAGUCAUGAAGCAGCUUACUUCAGGUAGGGUGCGUUAGGGGUGCUAAUACCUUCCCUAAUCACAACCAGUCCCUUACCCGUGAAUCUCUAACAAGACCAGUACAUCCAGUUUCCUACUAGCCUUUAAUAAAUUACUAGGUGGCGACUCCCAAUGAAUCAAUUCAAGCAAACGCAACAACGAGAAAAAAUUGCCAGCUCGAUGCCGCGCGGAUUUUUUUCGACGUGCGACAAUCAUUUAGAAUUUAAUUUCAUUUGAUUUUUAUAUAAACUUUGGUCUUUAUUUUUAUGAUUGUCGCACGUGUGCGGCGGCGCGACGAUCGUCCACCCUCAAGGAAAAAUCGGAAUAUUUAUUUCUUGAAAAUAGGGAGAGACAAGGAAUUCUUGUCUCUACAAGUGAAAAUAUGGACUGGGAGUCGCCACCUAGUAUUCGGGUUACUAGGAACCUUAACUGGUCUUUAGAGAUCGGGUACGGAGACUAGUUGCGUAAAGGGAAGGUAUUAGCACCCCAACUACGCCCUACCGAAGGUAGGCUGCAUUGUUUUAAUGUCUGAUAAAAUCUAAGGUCGUGUUUGUGGUUUUUUUUGUUCGGAAUACGCAUUACAUGUAAUGUCAUACCCCAGGUCUUAUUGUAAAAAAAAUGAAACAUCCGGAAUUUAAAUAUCUGGAAUAUGUAUUACGUAUAAUGUCAUAUCCCGGAUAUUAAAAAAAAAAAAAUUUAUUGUUUUUGAAAUUUUGGCCAAUGUUCUCUUGACUUUAAUAAACUGGUUAUUAAAGCCAAAAUGCAUGCUAAAAUAUUUUUUUUUUUUACAUAUGAAAAAUACGAUAUGAUUUUGUAGAUUUGAGACACUUGGUUGUAUGCACAAAAACAUUUUUUUCUCUUUUUUUCAAUUUUCAAUUUUUUUUUUAUUUUUGGAAGUUUUUGCCGAAAACCAGGUAUUUUAAUAUCAGAUUUUGUAUUUUUAACAACAUAAAAAAUACCACCAAAUAUUAAUCAAAAUGACAUAAAAAUUACACGGAAAAAUUAUAAAAUGCUGAAACAAAUAUUUUUGAUUUUUUUCUUUGAAAUGGGCCGGAUUAGGCCCAAAUAUAUGGGCUGGGCCGAACCUGGCCCAAAGCAUGGGCUGGUUACUGUGCACAUAGUAACCGGGUUACUGUGUGUACAGUACCAGAGAAUUAAUCUGCGGGUUACUGUGCACAUGCACAGUAAUCGUGAAUUAAUUAGCGAGUUACUGUGCACAAAAAACGACGGGAAAGGCUACCUGCGGUGGUGAUGUUGGACUCUCUUCUCUGCUUCUUCUUCUUCUGCUUUCUUCUCUCUGUCUCUCCCUUCUUUCUCUUCUCUCCUUUUUUUUUUUUUUUUUAGCAGCCCUCCCCUGUAUUUAUAGGAAAAAACAGGGGAGGCGUCAUGGUGGUGGCCGCCGCCCCUCCACUAUCGAUCCGUGGAUAAAAGGAGGAGGCAAGUGGGUGAUUGCGGGCGUCUUAUUGCGCCAAAUCCGGGUGAGAAAUUAGGUGAAAAGGGGAAGAAAAAAUCUUCUUCUUCCCCUGCCUCGCGCGUCCAGGGGAAGAAGAAGAGCUACAGUGCCGUCAAAACGGCACCGUUUUGGGCUUCUGUUUUUUUUUUUUUUUUUUUAGCAACAGUGAAUGAAACGGCGCCGUUUUGGUCAAAACGCGCCGUUUCAUUUAAAAGGAAAAGGCGCCAAAAGCAUCAGAUUCAAAUUUCGGCCCUCCAUUUGCGCGCGUUUUACAAUUUAGUCCUUGGUCUCGGAUUUCUUCAAUUCAGUCCCUAAUUGGCCAUUAAACCUCAAUAUUUAUGCAAUUAAGCCCCUGAUUUGACCAAAUUAACUUCCAAAAAUUAUAAUUUGACCCUAGAAAAUUAAUUUCUCCUAAUUAAAGCCCAAAUUAACUCCAAAAUCAAUUUUUCUUGCAAUUAAAAUCUUCAUAAAUGCAAUUAAACCUUUAAUAAAAUUUAAUUGAGUCCAUAAACUUCUGAUUUUGCAUUUUUCUUCCACAAAUUGAAUUUUCUUUAUCAUCGGGGCUCUCAUCAGUCAAUGAUAUACUGUCAAAAAUUAAUUUUUGAUUUUUGAACAUCCUCAAUCAAUUUUUGAGCAUUUUUAGGGCGCUCUAGCAUUUUUUCACUGUUAUAUUUUUUGAUAAUAUAUUUUUUGAAUUUUUUUGUAUUUUAUUUUUUUUUAUGUGGGGACCCAAAAAUGGGUUACAACAAUGAUAAUUAUUUGUUUUUCUUUUAUUAUUUUCUUUAUUAAAAUUUUUUAUCUAUCAAAUUUGGUCAUCACUUUUUUAUUAUUAUUUAUUUUAUGUAAAAUAAGUUACGAAAUUGUAAUUUGUUUUUAAGUUCUUCAUCUUUCAACUUUUUUAUAUGUUAUAUUUGAUCUCUAUUAUUUUGAUUGUUAUUUAUUUUAUUUGAAAUAAUUUAAAAAAUUAGAUUAUUUUUUUAAUUUUAUUGUCAUUUAACUUUUUAAUUUGUAAGAUUUGUUUCUAAUUAUUUUAAUAAAAAUAUAUUAACAAUUUAUUUUCCAGCUCAUUUUCAAUCAUAUAGUCCAAACACUGAAAAAUAUUUUUUAUUUUUUUAUUUAUUACUAAAUAUUAAAAAUAAACAUUCACUUCUAAUAAAUUUAAUUUAAAAAAAAAUUAUUUUUCAACAAACAAACAGCAUAACUCUCCUAAAUUACGUGGAUACUCCAUUAUAACUGACAAACAUGAACAAGAAACUGGUGGGUGGAGACAAAUACAGUUGCAAUGUUAUUCAGGAUCGUCUUCUUGGUCCGUGUCUUCGUUAGCUUAGCAAUAGCAGCCACUCAAGAUCUCAACUUCACCUUCUAUGGCUUCCGAUCUACUAAUCUAAGCCUUGACGGCUUAGCUGAGUUAACCUCCAAUGGCCUUUUGAGGCUAACCAAUGUAACCUACCACCGAACGAGUCACGCCUUCUAUCCAAACCCAGUAACCUUCAAGAACUCUAUAAAUAGCACUGCUUUCACCUUCUCCACUACCUUUGUUUUCGCUAUCAUACCUGAAUAUCCAACUCUUGGCGGCCAUGGUUUUGCCUUUGUCAUUGCACCCACAAGAGGUCUCCCAGGAGCUGUUGCAAACCAGUACCUUGGUCUAUUUAAUGAGACCAACAAUGGGAAACUGACCAACCAUAUUGUUGCUGUGGAGCUUGACACGAUAAACAACAGCGAGUUCAAUGAUGUCAAUGAUAACCAUGUUGGGAUUGAUAUUAAUGGUUUAGAGUCUGAACAAUCAGAUUCAGCUGGAUAUUACUCUCAACUUAAUGGUAAGCUCACAAACUUGACACUAAUUAGUGGCCAUCCAAUGCAAGUUUGGAUGGAAUAUGAUGGCAUGGAGAAGCAACUUAAUGUCACUAUAGCUCCGAUUGAUGUUGAUAAACCCAGUAGACCACUUUUGACUUUGUCUCGUGAUUUGUCGCCAAUCUUAAACAGUAGUAUGUAUAUCGGAUUCUCAUCAUCCACCGGUGCUUUUACCGCGUCCCAGUAUGUGUUGGGUUGGAGCUUCAAGAUGAAUGGCCUAGCUGAAGCACUACAUAUCUCUCGCCUUCCUAAACUUCCUCGCGUAGGACCAAAGAAGACAUCCAAAUUCUUAACCAUUGGACUGCCUGUGCUCUGUUUAAGUUUGGUUUUAGUAGCAGUCUCGGGUAUAUCUUAUGCCAUACGAAGGACAAGGAAGUUUGCAGAAGUGCUAGAAGAUUGGGAGCUUGACUAUGGGCCUCACCGAUUUAAAUUCAAAGAUCUUUAUACUGCCACCAAAGGAUUUAGAGACGAGGAGCUGUUGGGUAGUGGUGGAUUUGGUAGAGUCUACAAAGGUGUCUUGCCAACCUCGAAGAUUCAGAUUGCAGUGAAAAGGGUGUCUCAUGAAUCAAGACAGGGGAUGAGGGAAUUUGUGGCGGAAAUUGUCAGCAUUGGUCGCCUUCGUCACCGGAAUUUAGUCUCUCUCUUGGGGUACUGCCGGCGUAAAGGAGAGCUACUUUUGGUAUAUGACUACAUGCCUAAUGGAAGUCUAGACAAACACCUCUAUGACCAACCACCAGUCGCCCUCAAUUGGAGCCAAAGAUUUAGAGUCAUCAAAGGCGUAGCUUCAGGGCUAUUAUAUCUACAUGAAGAAUGGGAGCAAGUUGUGAUUCAUAGAGAUGUCAAGGCUAGUAAUGUCUUGCUAGAUGGUGAAUUGAAUGGAAGAUUAGGGGAUUUUGGCCUUGCAAGAUUGUAUGACCAUGGAACAGAUCCUCAAACGACCCACGUUGUCGGAACUCUUGGGUAUCUCGCACCUGAGCAUGCACGAACUGGGAAGGCCACGACAAGCACUGAUGUGUUCGCUUUUGGGGUCUUCUUGCUUGAGGUUGCUUCUGGUAGAAGGCCAUUACAGCCAACUGAGGAUAUAAUCUUGGUUGAGUGGGUGUUUGGUCGAUGGCUUGGAGGUGAAAUUCUGGAGGCAAGGGAUCCCAAUUUGGGCACAGAAUAUAUUGCAGAGGAAAUGGAAUUGGUAUUGAAACUUGGUUUGAUGUGCUCUCAUUCUAAGCCUGCAGCAAGGCCAAGCAUGCGCCAAGUAGUGCAGUUCUUAGAGGGGAAUGUUCCUCUGCCUGACAUUUCACCACUUCGUCUUUCUUCAAGUGGCCAAAAUUUUGCACAUUUUGAAGGUUUUGAUGAGUUUGCCAAUUCUUAUCCUUCUUCUACGGACAAGGCAUUUGCACAUUCGUCCUCGGCUACAGAGUCCCUCCUUUCAGGUGGCCGUUAAUUCUUGCUUUUCUUCAAGGAUUGUUACAUAAUCUUCUUUUCUGUUAUGUAACAAACAGCAGCAGAUAUUGCUGAUGUUUAUUUGCGUUUACUGUUUAUGAAGUGUUUAAAUAAGACUUCUGAUAAUCAAUAAGAUUAACGACGUUUUCAGAAUAGCUUUGUUCUCUGUUAACAUUUACAAUUUAUUCUGUCAAAAACUAUCAGACCUUAUCAAGAACUCAUGUAAGAUCUAUUUAGUUGGAAGUAUUCCAGCAACUUAUUGAAAUAAUUUAUUAAAUUUAUAAUAUUUUAAAAUAUAAUUUAUAUUAUUAUUUAAAAUAUUUUAUUAAAUAAAAAUUCUUUAAACUUGAAAUUUAUAUAAAUUAUAAAUUAGGAUAAUGAGAUUCAAAUUAUUUUAAUUUAAUAAUAUAAAUUAUUAAAUAAAAUUAUCUUCAAAACUCUACUUUAUUUUCAAAACUCUGAUAAUAUAUUAAAAAAUUAUCUUAAUUUAAUAAUUUAAAUUAUUAAAUAAAAUUUUAAAAUAUAAUUUAUAUUAUUGUAUACCUAAAACUUAUUCUUUAAUAAACCGAUUCUCUAUUUUUGAGCAUUAUAAAUAGUCUAGUUAUGCAUCAAUUCUAACUAGCUACGUGUCAGGAUUGAAUACCACAUGACCGGCAUUGACUCUAUACAUAGAUAGUAACGUUACGAUUAGUCGGGUUAAACUGAAACAACCUUUUCAAUCAUCACUAUCACUCUUUCCCUAACCUGGAAGACAUGCAACUCAAUAAAACAGAGAAGACCACCAAAAUUACUUGUGUUGUUAUUGUUUUCCUGUUUUGUACCAGCAAAUUAGGACAAACUAAAUUGGUAGCACGCGUUACGUGUUACGCUAAUAUAUAUAUAUAUCUGAAACUCAGGUUAUUAACUAACUCCAUAGUCCAUAGGAUUCAAUAAAUUAUGAUCCUUUUUGUCAUCCUGAUUAGUCCACAUAAAGCAGAUUCUUCUUUAACUUAGUCACUUAGUUGCUGUUUGUUUUUGUAUUUUAAAUUAAUAUUUUUUAGUAUUUUUAUUUUAUUUUAUUUUAACAUGCUGAUAUUAAAAAUAUUUUUUAAAAAAUAAAAAAUAUAUAUCAUUUUGAUAUAUUUCCGAAUGAAAAAUACUUUAAAAAGCAACCACAACCACACUCUCAAACAAACUAUAACCUUAUCCAUAAAUAUUUCUAAAAGCUAUCCGGUUAUAAUAUAUCCAUAAUCUGAGUGCGCUCACGCAAUUGGUUGCUGCAGUAAAAAAAAAAAACCCUCCAUGCAGCAGCAUUUACCCCAUUUCAUGAGGGACGUCGUGUCCACCUUUCUUUAUCCAUCCACGACGUCUAACCACCCCACCAUUCCUAAUAACUACCCUAAAUCGCUAAUCCUCUCUCUCCCUCUCUCUUACAUACACUCUGUCGCACCCCAAAAAAUCAUCCGGCGCGUGGCAUCGGCUGGCGAUUUAUCUCGUUUUUGCGUUUGCUUUGAAUUGGUUCGUUGGAGUCGCCACCUAGUAAUUUAUUGAGGGCUACUAGGAUACCUGAUGUACUGGUCUUGUCAGAGAUCGCGGGUAAGGGACUGGUUGUGGUUAGGGAAGAUAUUAGCACCCCUAACACACCCUACCUGAGGUAAGCUGCUUUGUGUUCUGAUGUGAUUGGAAAAUUUAAAAUAUUAAUUAAAUUCUAAGGCUUGAAUAAAUCAGUUAUUAAAUCCCCGAAUAUAUGUAAAAACUUGUUCUUAUAUUUUCAUGGAAAAUACAACUUGAUUUUAUUUGUCCUUGAAAUAUUUAACCAUAUUCAAGAAAAAUUUAAAAUAUUAAUUAAAUUCUAAGGCUUGAAUAAAUCAGUUAUUAAAUCCCCGAAUAUAUGUAAAAAAACUUGUUCUUACAUUUUCGUGGAAAAUAUAACUUGAUUUUAUUUGUCCUUGAGAUAUUUAACUAUAUUUAAAUUUAACAAAUAAUUAUUUUUGUGUUUUUUUUUAUUUUUUAUAAUUCAAUAACAUAAAUAAAAAAAAGCAAACACACACAAACAUUUUUUUUCUUUUUUUUUAUUAUCACUUUCUCUUUCUUUUCUUUUUUUUUCUUUUACAUCCCUAUUUACAAAGUACAAAUUUAAAAUAAAUAAACAAAAAUUACAUUAAAACUUUAAAAUUUACAAAAUGGUCCCUAAAAACUCCGGAAAUUACAGGAAAGGACUUCAGGGGCUGCAUGAACAGUGACGGUGCGUCUUCCCACGCGCCGCGCCACUGGCGGUGCGUGGAUUCACGCGCCGCAGCAGGGAAAGAAACUGGAUGCAGUGGAUCACGACCGGCUUCUCUUUAUGUCCUCCUAAACCAUCUGUGACCUGUGGAACGAGAAGAGAAACUCAACAACAGUCGAUUUUAGUUUUUUUUUUAUUUCCUUUUGUUUCACUUCUGUUUUAUGUCUUCUUUUUGCUUCGUUUCUUCUUUGUUGGUUGCAGAUCCGGCGAGGGCAGGCUUCGAUGGCCACUGCUGGGCAGUUCUGGCGGCGGGUCUGUGGGCGGUGGCUGCCGAUCUGUGGACGGCGCUGCUGCAUGGGGAACGGAUCUGUGGGGAGUAGCUUCUGCUGUUGGAGGACGCCAUUGAUGGUCUGGAGGAGGAGGAGAUGCAGGUUCGGUCGGCGAUGGACAGGAAGAAACUGAAACGGCCAGCAAGAGGGGAGACUCCUUCGGGUGCAGGGAAGAAGGCCGAGAGAGGGAAGAGACCGGUUCUGCUUGUUCUGCUUUGGCUGCAACCGAGAGAGAGAUGAGGGAAAAAUGGAGGCCGGUUCAGGAGAUGAGUGAAGGAGCUGGGUCCGUGGGGAUGGAAAUGGCUAACGGGAGGAGAGGAAGGGGCUGGUCUGUGUGUUGCUUUUUCUUUGCAAAAGGGAGGGAGCGCCGGUCAGCUUCAACCGGGAAAGAAGAAAAAAAAAAUGGAGGCUUGUCUCACAGCCGGCUCAAAAAAAUCAAAAACAAGGGGGCUGCCUUGGUUUUAUGAUGGUGGCUGCCCGGGAGAAAAAAUGAAAUCCACCGGGGGGGCGCCUGGUUUGGGUGAGCGGCUGCCUUGAAAAAAAGGGUUUAGGUUUAGGUUUUGUAGUUUUUUUGAUGUUGUCAAAAUUACCCCCCCCCUUUUGCAAGUGUUGGAAACCAGUAUUUAUAGGCAAAAAUAUUGCCAAGUUUUUCAACUUGGUCCCUCAACUUCUUUCUUUUUUGUAAAUUUUGAUUUUUCUUAUUUUUUUUGUAUUUUUUGAAAACGAGCAAUAUCAACGUCGACUCAACGAGGAAAAUCAAUGAUUUAAAAAAAAGACGCAUGAAAAGUUGAACGCAUUUGAAAAUCUUUUAAAAAUUUAAAUUUUUUUUUUUAGACGACGUUGAAAAUGCUAAAAUGACGAAAAUAUAUUUAAAACAUAUUUUUUUGGAUUUUCUUUGUUUUUUUCUAUUUUUGAAUUUUUUUGAAAAUAUAUCAAAAACAUGGAUCAAAAAAUGGAUAGAAACAGACUGCACAUACACAAAUUAAUGAUAAUAUACUGUAUGGUGCUGUAAUUUAUACACAUAAUAACUCUAGCUUGAAUGAUUUCCAUGUCAGACCAUUUCCCGUGUCCCCAUACAUAUCAAUAUUAAUUCGUUCCGGCUCUCUCUCUCUCUCUCUCUCUCUCUAUAUAUAUAUAUAUAUAUAUAUAUAUAUAUAUAUAUAUAUAUGAUAGAGAGUCUUGUGAAUCACUAGCUCAAUAAUAUGGAUAGCUUGCUUUGUGAUGAGGUCUGGCUUUCCAGUCCUGCAACUCCCGAUUACCACAUUAAUCAACCACGGUAUAGCCAUGGAGAGACCUACGCAGCUGCUUCCUCAUUCUACACAACCACAAAAGACUGCGAGAAGGCCGUCUCUAUAUACCUGGAGAAGGAGUUCACUUGCAUGCCUGAACCCGGUUACGUAGAACAUCUUCGGACCAAAAAUUUGUUGUUUGCUAGGCUCAGAGCCAUUCAGUGGCUCAUCAAGGUUUUGUUUCUCGACUUGUAUAUAUAUGUAGAAACAUAGUAAUCAACGAGAUUAUUGCUUUUACGUGCAAUUAGUCACAGUCACCCCUCUCAUUAUCCUAUGCAUAUGUAUGUGUUCAGUCUCGUCAAAGGCUCAGUCUCUCUUUCGAAACUGUUUUCAACGCUGCCAAUUACCUUGACCGAUUCAUGUCGAUGAAUCAAUGCCAUGUAAGGGCUCGAAGAUUAGCUCUUAAAUUUUCAUUUAUAUUUUUGUCUUAAACUGUGAGAUUUGAUUAGUUAUUGUCUUAAGAUAACUAAUUAAAUCUUAUGAUCCCGUUGAUGUCCAGGGAUGGAAAUGUUGGAUGGUUGAAUUGCUGUGCGUGGCAUGCUUAUCAGUUGCAUCCAAAUUUACUGAGACACGUACUCCUUGCUUGCAUGAUAUUCAGGUGGUUACUGUUACAUUAAUUACUGUUGGCCUUUCUUGAUUGUUAUACUUUAAUUACUAACCACUAGCUAUUAAUUUAUGCAUCGAUCUGUUCUUGCGAUUAAAUUAAGAUGGAAGACCUCGAUCAUUCAUUCCAACCAAUCACUAUCCAGCGGAUGGAAUUGGUGCUGUUACGGGCUCUAGGUUGGCGCCUUGGCUCUACCACUGCAUAUUCUUAUGUAGAGCUGCUGGUUAUGAAAAUUGAUUUUAAUUGCUAGAUGGUGAAUUGAAUGGAAGAUUAGGGGAUUUCGGCCUUGCAAGAUUGUAUGACCAUGGAACAGAUCCUCAAACGACCCACGUUGUCGGAACUCUUGGGUAUCUCGCACCUGAGCAUGCACGAACUGGAAAGGCCACGACAAGCACUGAUGUGUUCGCUUUUGGGGUCUUCUUGCUUGAGGUUGCUUCUGGUAGAAGGCCAAUACAGCCAACUGAGGAUAUAAUCUUGGUUGAUUGGGUGUUUAGUCGAUGGCUUGGAGGUGAAAUUCUGGAGGCAAGGGAUCCCAAUUUGGGCACAGAAUAUAUUGCAGAGGAAAUGGAAUUGGUAUUGAAACUUGGUUUGAUGUGCUCUCAUUCUAAGCCUGCAGCAAGGCCAAGCAUGCGCCAAGUAGUGCAGUUCUUAGAGGGGAAUGUUCCUCUGCCUUACAUUUCACCACUUCGUCUUUCUGCAAGUGGCAAAAAAUUUGCACAUCGUGAAGGUUUUGAUGACUUUGCCUAUUAUUAUCCUUCUUCUAUGGACAAGGCAUCUGCACAUUCGUCCUCGGUUGCAGAGUCCCUCCUUUCAGGUGGCCGUUAAUUCUUACUUGUCUUCCUGGACCUUGUUGAAUUAAUGUCUCAGAAGCUGCUGAUGUGGAAGAUGGAAGAGUUUACAGUCAAAUAAAACUCAUGUUGGUUUGUAGUUUCAAAAGUUUGUAAGGAUUUGCAUAAUCUUCUUUUCUGUUAUGUAACAAACAGCAGCAGAUAUUGCUGCUGUUUAUUUGCUUUUGCUGUUUUAAGAAGUGUUUAAAUAAGACUUCUGAUAAUCAAUAAGAUUAACGAAGUUUUCAGAAUAGCUUUGUUCUCUGUUAACAUUUACAAUUUAUUCUGUCAAAAACUAUCAGACCAUAUGAGUGGAUUUUUUUAUUAAAAAAAACUAUGUAGUAAACUGCCUUUAGGAGAUGUACAUGAAAGAUCAUCUGCAAAACAAUGAUGCAAAUUCAAUAAAAUGCAUAACACGGUGUCUCUCCCUUUUGUUUAUGUUGAUGUACCACAUAAGAAAGCAAACAUAGUAAUAAGUCAUGAAGCUGGAGGUAAUGUUAAAAAGACAUGCAUAGUUAUAGUUGGAAGUUGUCGAUACACGACGUCAGGCGACGGCUCCGCUCUUUUUGUUUAUUUUAACAAAAAAGAUUGUUUUAUUAUUGGGGGAAAUAGAUUUUAUUGGAGUCGUCAUCUAGUAAUAUGAGGGAACUAGAAAUCCCAAAUUAGACACUGGUCCCAGAGAUUCGAGUACUGGGUUAGUUAUGAUUAAGGGAAGGUAGACACCACCUUUAAAACAUCCUUUCAAAAGAAAGGUUACCCUUACUUGUGUAUUUUUAUAUUUGAUUCGAAUUGUAUUAUAUUUUGAGCUUAUUUGCAAUUUUUUUUAUUUGUAAAAUAGUUAACGUCGGUCCCUAAAAAUAGGAGACACGUUAAAAAUGACAUCAGUCCCUAAAAAUAGGAGACUUGUCUAAAAUCUCGACGUUUAUCCCUAAAAGAAGAUUUACGUCUGAAUUACCAAAAGAAAACAAAUAGACAUAAUCCAUAUUUGGUAUAAAUCCUUGACAUCGGUCCUUUUCUGUAAAAAGAGACGUGUCGACAAACAACGAUCGUAGGAAACGCGUUUAAAAAAAUGACAUCAGUUCCUAAAACUAGAAAACUCGUCUAAAAUAUUGACGUUUAACCCUAAAAAGGAGAAGUAUGUCUGAGUUACCAAAAACUAUGGACAUAAUCCAUAUUUGGUAUUUUAACUUUUUGACAUCGAUCAUUUUCUGUAAAAAGAGACGUGUCGACGAACAAUAUUCGUUUAUAAAAUAAAACUAUUUUGAUAUCGUUGAGAAAUGGGUACAAUCAUAUUCGAGAAUUGGGCUUUGGACCAACGAACGAUAACAUGGGUGUUGGACCCGCUUCGUUAUUCUUUUUAUACUUGUUUUUGUUUUUUUUUUAUUUUAUUGUUUUAUAACAUGCAUGAAAAUUUACAAAUAUUUACAUAAAAAAAUGUUAGGAAUCCAAAAAAAAAUUACCCGAGUACCCCUGUAUAGGUAAAAGACUGAAAUACCCUCGGAUUUCUCAGGAAUUUACGAAAAUGCCACUAGCGGCGCGUGUGGCUCACGUGCGGCUACUGUUGGCACUGGCGAAAUUUUCCGGCGAGCUUUCUGGGAAACGAACGGUCGAUUCUGGUAGAUCUGAGGUCGAGGAUUCUGAUGGUGGUGGUAUUGACGGUCGUUGAUGGCUGACGAGGGAGAAUCGUCGACUUGAAGCUUCGGUGGCCGGCGAGGAUCGCGACCUUUUUCCGGCCAGAUGAGGCGGUGAAAACGGUUAAAACCGCUGGGGGUUUGCUUUAAACCAGUGGAUCAACCUUUCUGUGGUGGUUCGGAGGCUUGAGAUGGCCGGAAAGUGGAGCUCGGAUGAGAGAGAGGGAGUCACCGGCGAGAAGAGAGAGAAGCUCUGAGUCACGCUAUGGUGUGAACGCGUGCACGGUAUACCUGUACUGCUAAACUCUAUACGCUGUUGGAUCUCGGAUGAAAUGAUCGAAUGGCUGUGAUUGGCUUGAUCUGCAAGUUGAUCGGACGGCCCGGAUUGUCUUGGUGCGGAUCCUGUGUAGCGUGGUGCACCGAAAGCUCGGUACACUAGAUGACGUGGCGAAACAGGAUCCAAUCUCAGAUUAUUUCAACGGCUGAGAUUUGUUAGGAUAUGUUUGGUAUUUUCCAAAUUGUUUUUUUUUAAAUCAAUAUCUUAACUCUCGGAGAAAAAGCAAAACAAAAAUGAAUAGUGGCCUUUAAAUCAAUUCUUUCACUUCUUUUCUGCCUCCUCCCUCGUUCCGGCGAUUGUCACUAGCUAUUUAUAGCCAGUGAGCAGGGACAUAAGCCUAAUUGUUGCCUAAUUGUAAGAAAAAAUUUGUCCCUGCCUUUGAUUUCUGCCUAAUUGUAAGAAAAAAAAAUAGUCCCUGCCUAACAUUGCCUAAUAUGACAAAAAUAUUUUUGUUUUAUUAUAUAUAAUAAUAAAUAUUUACAUAGAUAAAAUUAAAAACUCAAAUCAGUAUUAGAAAAAGCCCGACUCAACCGCUAAAAAUCAAUUUUAAUUACCGAAAAUUAUGUCGAAACAUUAAAAAUAAAAAAACUUUCAAUAGGUAUCAACCCGGUGAAUCGGGUUUUGACCAUAAAAUAACAGUUUUGACCCAAAAUGACCUGAAACUCAUUUUUUACCUUGGUCGACAUGGUUUGACCCGUAUUGACCCGGUGAACUCGGUUUUGAUGGAAAGAUGCGGUUGACUCGAAAAAAAAAUAUCUUUUUGAACUUUAAACUUUUUUUAUAUAUUUUUUUAUAUUUUUAUAAAUAAUAAUAGAAAUAAAAUAACAUUCAGAUGGGCAACUUUCCUUCAAAAGUUCCCUUUUGCUAUUCGACACAAGUCUGGUGCUUUGAAUCGGGUUGCCGAUGCGUUGAGCCGUCGUGCCAAUCCGCUGGUGACAUUGGCUCAUGAGAUAGUGGGGUUUGAGUGCCUAAAGGAUUUGUAUCACGAGGAUGUGGAUUUCAAAGAAUUAUGGACGAAAUGCAUUGAGCAACACCCCGUCAGCGAUUUUCAUGAGAGCGAAGGUUUUCUGUUUCGCGGAAAUCGUUUGUAUAUACCCCGGAUAUCGCUGCGAGAGAAAUUGAUCCGUGACCUUCAUGGGGGUGGAUUGAGUGGUCACUUGGGCAUGGACAAAACAGUGGCUAGCUUAGAGGAAUGAUAUUUCUGGCCGCAACUGAAGAGAGACGUCGACAAUUUUGUACGGAAGUGCUACAUCUGUCAGGUAUCUAAAGGUCAGUCGCAAAAUCCUGGUCUCUAUACACCUUUACCUAUUCCUAACGAAAUUUGGGAAGAUUUGUCUAUGGAUUUUGUGCUGGGGUUGCCUUGCACCCAGCGAGGGGUGGAUUCUGUUUUUGUGGUGGUUGACAGGUUUUCGAAGAUGGCUCACUUCAUCCCUUGCCGAAAGACCUCAGAUGCUUCACAUAUAGCCCGAUUAUUCUUCAGGGAAGUGGUCCGACUUCACGGAGUGCCGCAGUCAAUUACUUCUGAUCGCGAUACAAAAUUCCUUAGCCACUUUUGGGUGACUUUUAUGGAAGAUGUUUCAGACUUCGCUGAACCGAAGUACAACCGCGCACCCACAAACUGAUGGGCAGACAGAGGUGACAAACAGAACUUUGGGAAAUCUGGUUCGUAGCAUUUGUGGGGAUAAACCAAAACAGUGGGAUCAUGCAUUGCCACAGGCUGAGUUUGCUUACAAUAGUGUUGUUCAUAGCGCAACGGGGAAGACUCCUUUUGCUAUGAUAUAUGUGACACCACCAAGACACACAAUAGACUUAGUUCGUCUACCCAAGGGAGGCCCAGGAUUUAGUAUGGCCGCUGAGAACAUGGUGACACAAGGUCAGGCCGUGCAGGAGGAAGUGAGGCAGAGGUUGGAAGCAACCAAUGCAAAAUAUAAGGCUGCGGCGGAUAAGCAUCGACGUCGCCGAGUAUUUGAAGAGGGAGAUUCCUUGAUGGUUUUCUUGCGCAAAGAAAAGUUUCCCGUAGGCACUUACAACAAGCUGAAGCCCAAGAAAUAUGGUCUGUAUCAGGUUUUGAAGAAGAUCAACGAUAAUGCCUAUGUGAUUGAUCUUCCCGAAACCAUGGGCAUUUCCAAGACUUUCAACGUUGCAGAUUUGUUCCAGUAUUAUGCAGAGGAACACUUGUAUCCUGAUCCCGAUCCGGAACCUAACUCGAGGUCGAGUUCUUUUCAAGUGGAGGAGUCUGAUGUAGAACAAAUAGCGGAAGAAUACAUGCUCAAAAGGGAUCACCCGAAAUUCAAAGGCAACUGAAUUUCGGCAGCCGGGGCGUUGACGUCGGAAUGCCACGAAACUCACCGAGUCAAAGCGUUUCGCCAUUUGCGGAUGAAGUCAGCGGCUUUUCCCCUGAUGUCCACCUGUUUUUGGCCAAAUUCCAUCGUUUCGUCCCCGAAAUCGUCAUUUUUGCCAUUUUAGGAAAGUUUCGUUUUGGCCAUAACUUUUGAUUCCCGAGUCCGAAUUGACUUCCGUCAAUUCCUGUUUGCUCAGGAUUUAUAGGCCUUUCAUAUUCUGCAUUUAUCUCAAAUUUGCCAUUUUUGGUAAAUUUAAUGUUUUGUGUCGUUUCCUUAUCCGUCAUGGGUUAGGGUAGAAUUUUGCUUUAAAUAUCAUUGUAAAGCCUCUGGAGGCGGCAGCUAAUAAUUAUUGAAUAAAAACCUUUGAGUUUUCUGAGAGUUUCUCUCGUUUAUACAAUUUUACGGAAUAUUGACGUUGGUCGUAUUCCUUCACUGUUUACUGCUGCGUCACCAUGGUUUUGCCUUUGUCAUUGCACCCACAAGAGGUCUCCCAGGAGCUGUUGCAAACCAGUACCUUGGUCUAUUUAAUGAGACCAACAAUGGGAAACAGACC